rnacentral:lncRNA from 1 species
AGGCCCAAAACUUAAAACGCAGCCCGAAAACAUCAAGCCCGUCGUCGGAAUUAGGGCUUGGGCCCCUUAGGGUUUUGAGUUGCACCACCUAGGGUUUGGAACCCUAGGCGCCGCCGCCUCCUAGCCUCGACAGCAGCCAAACCAGCGCGGCAGCAGCAGCCCCGGCGUGGUGGCAGCCGCCUCGGCUCGGCAGCCUCGGCAGUCCUCACGCACAGCAGCAGGUUCGGCCCUCGGUGCUUCCGGCAGUAGCAGCGCACAGCGGCAGUAGGCGCGCGCAGCCGCCAGCACCCUGUCGGCAGCCUCCAGCAGCAACAGGUCCUCGGCGAUCUCGGCGGCAGCAGCUCCAGCGGACGACAACAGCAACGGCAGCAGCGGCAGCGUGCCGCCCGCCGGGCGCGCAGCGCGCAGAGCGCGCAGGCGCGGCCCCAGGCGCGCACCACCCCUGCUAGUUGCUUCCAGCCGCUCGCCCAGCCCUAGCCGAGCCCGCCUCGCCAUCAGCGCAUGUCCAGACCAAAGAGCAGUAGCGGCCACGCGGUCGCCUGCCUGGGCGUGCUGCGCGCGGUGUGCACGCACCCGCGCGCGCGCUGCCCCUCGGCGCCCGCAGCCCCUCGCUCUCGGUCACCCUCAGCAUUCUCCUUACACCUUCCUCGUCGUUGAUUCGUCGUCAUCCUCGUUUCGUUCCUCAGUUUUACAGAUUUACAACGGAAAAACAAAUACAAUUGAAAUCCUAAUCUAACCACGGAUUUUCUCGUGGUGAAAAAUGAUUACAACGUCAAACGACGUAUCCCACGAAUCAACAGACCACGAAGAACAACAGCAGUAAAAACAACGCACAUUAUUAAUCGUACAUAAAUUAAUAAUAGAGCCAAGAAAUUAAUCCUGGGCUCUGAUACCAAUUGAAGGAAUAUUAAACUGAAUUAACGUUCCGCUUUGCCCGAUGAUCGUUUCUUGGAUUAUUAUUAAUUUAUCAUACAACGAUUAAUCCUAACAUGCUCCUAUGAAUUUAACAACUGCACGUUGGAGUUCAGAAAUACCUGAAGAAUUCAGAAGAAUUCGUCAAUCUGUCGCUGAACAGGUCAGCCAACUUCAACGCUUCGUUUGACGCCUCAAACGUCCUCAAAUCGUAUUUUGUCCAGAAAUACGACUUCUUCGUCUUCGAGAGAGCUUUCCGUGGCCGCCUGAUUCGUCUGAAUCGGAGUUCUGUGGAGGAAGUUAUGGCCGUUUUACGGAGACUGCCAGAACUUGGUUUCCUGCGAAAAUCUGACUCCAGCUCUGAUCUUCUCGACUGUAUCCCGCUCAGCUUUCACCGUUGGAUGGACAACGAUCUAUGAAAGUCCCAAGAGAGAAAUGCUCCACACGUUUUUCCUGCGCCCCACAGCUCUCUCAAAACCCUAAUAUUUUUAUCAGUCUGUUUUCCUGAGAGCUGACAGCUGUAUUUAAUAAAAUUAAAUACGUAUGGGGCGACAGAAUUAGUGUAGGAGGCGUCUUUCUCUCCUUCUAGGGCUAGGAGACUUUGGGCCAGUCCAGGGACCAGAUACAAGGAAUAAAGAUGGGCCUCAAAUAAAUUAAUUUAUCUAUGGUCAGCCCAGACCAUAAUUAAUUUAUAAAUAUCAGUUCAUUCCACUAGAGAACCGAUACUGACUUACCCCUUUAUUGCCGGUGAUGAGUCGGGGCUUGUAUUUAGACUUAUUAAAUCUCCGUAUUUAAAAUAUCCGACAUCCAUUAAUUAAUUAGAGCUCUGACAGCUUAAAUUAAUUAAUCUCUUUAUAAUUCCUUAAGCAGUACCACUCAAACUUUAUUAUUACGCCUGAACUUAAUCAACCUGCAGGGUUUAGCGUAAUAAACCUUAUUGAGCUCCUUAAGGGGAUGUCAUUAUCCUAUACCGGAUACGGGUACUAAUACAGAUAAUCAAAUAUCAUAUAUUAACCGCUAUCACCCAAGAUACAGAGUACUCGAGUUAGUAUAUAACUUUCACCCAUAGUAAGUCAAAGUGAUAUACGAAUUAACAUAUAUAUCUGAAUACUUAUUAGUAUUAAGAUUUAUGAGUCACCGAGAUCUUGAUUCUUCACUUAAGUCAGAUAGAAGAAUACAUCUCAACUGUUGGUCCUAUCAAUACGUAAUGACGUACCAGUAUAGACAAGUAGCCAAGACAAACUACUUCCAUCUAUACUGCAGCCUAAACCAAUAACUUGUCCUAGAGUUAUUUCGGCUGUGAUCAUAUUAUAUCUCUUAAGGUUAUUCCAAUUAUAUGGUCUUCUGUGAUCUACAACACACCAUAUAAUCUACUUAUAUAGAGAUAAAGAACAUACAUAUGCAAUCAUGAACACAAUCAGAUAGGAGAUUAGAUAGUGAACUUAGGAAACAUUGUAUACAAGCAUAAAACGUUCUUGCUUUCAGUAUACAAAUCCAACAUAAGCAUGCAUAGACACUUAAGCAUACAACUCACUUAAAAGCAUAUCACAAGUAAGGAAACAUAAGUUUGACUCGGAGACCAGAGCAAGAGAAUGCUCGGUGGUCGGAGUGGGAAAACUCAGUAGAGCGGAGCAGAAUAGCUCGGCAGAACAACGGAGAAAUGCUCGCCAGGGCAGAGGAAUCAACUUGCCCGGGCAGCGAAAUCAUGAACUCUCUGGCAGAGAAGCGGAGAAAUGCCAGAGGAAUGGCAAAUUCUCUGUCGCCAGAGAAAUCAAAACUUCAGAGAAAUCAAACGUCAGAGGAAUCGAUCGUCAGAGGAAUCGAACUCAGAGGAAUCGAACUCAGAGGAAUCGAAUUCAGAGGAAUCGAACUCAGAGGAAUCGAACUCGCUGACAGGGCAGCGGGGAAAUGAAUUCUCUGGCGUGCCAGCGGGAAAAUGAUUUCUCUGGCAUGCCCGAGGAAUGAGUUCUCGGUUCCGAGUAGAGCAAGGCUCAAGACAGAACGGUGUAGUCAAGAGCAACUCGAAAACUCAUCAACUUUUUCAUUCAUCAAACAUCAUCAUGCACAUCAACUCACUCACGAACUCUACCAACUCUAAAAUCUCAAAAACACGUAAUCCAUCACAAGUUCUUACUCAACAUCAAAACAUCAUCAAGACAUACUUUACAGAUCUUUCCCAAAAUCUUAUCUCAACAAUUUUUGUAAAAACCAUAUCUCAAGACUCGGUUUUGCAAAAUACACGUUAAUCACUUCAAAACAUCACAUACCACACAUAUAACACAUUUCUCAUCUCCAUUUAAGAAAAGAAGGAUUUUUACAGGGUACGAACCCAAGUUUUUCGAAAAUGAAGAAGAAAGGAGAAGGGGAAGUUUCUCAUGCUUAAAACAUCUUAUUACACACACAUAUCACCACAUACUUCUCACAGCAAGUCUAGACUCAAAAGAUCAGAACACUUACUCAAAGAGUUUCAAGAAAAAGGGCGUCUUUUAUCGAUUUCUUCAGGUUAUAACUCAACAAAUCUUCUUGAAACAAGCGUGGAAAGUGUUUAAGGGUAGAUUUAGCGGAGUAUUUUAUCUCAGUUAUGACUGGCGAAGCUUCGAGCUUAGUCUCCAAUGAGGAGAGAGAGAAUGUCGUGGGGAGAGAGAAGAAGUUGAAGGCCGGAAGAUGAGAAAUGACGGAGAGAGAGAGACGCUUCGUUUUACAAAUUCUUAUUCCAUAGAUAGUAGCAUUAAUGCUAAUAGUAAUUGUCUCCCCUACACAAGUCUAAUCCCUAUUUCCACAUGUGGGAAAAAGUAAAAUAUUGGUGUGAGUUAGGAGUGUGCGAGGUAUCAAAUCAUUUGCUAUUUCAAAAUUAUACCGACUCAAAUAAUAUAAUGCGCACGUAUCAUAUAAAUCAAUAACGUCAAAUAAUAACUCCAAAGUAUCACAUUAAAACAGAUCAUCACUCGUCAUUAUCUAAUGUCAUCUAGUUAAUCUCUCUAUAGAUUCUCAUCACUCCUCGACUCUAUCUCUCGCACUUCGUCUCACUCGAAAACAAUAACAUCUCCAUCUUAGCUCUAACAUCAUUCUCAAUUCUCUUACAUCUCUAUUUACUCAUAUUACCAUCCAUGAUAACUUCCUCUCGACUUUAGUUGUUAGUCCUUAACUCUCGAUAGUAUUUCGAUACUAUUGUAAGGUAACUAAAAACGGGGUGUUACAUCCUACCCCCCUUAAGAAAAAUUUCGUCCCGAAAUUUGUUUUACUCACCUUCGGGAAAAAGCUCGGGGUAUUUCUCCUUCAUCUUUUCCUCAAGUUCCCAUGUUGCUUCUUCUUGGUCGUGAUGUCUCCAUUGUACUUUCACCAAGGAAAUUGCUUUGCUUCGUAGUUGUUGAACCUUCUUGUCCAGAAUGGCUUCGGGUCUCUCUUCAUAGCUCAAGAAAUUUGACUCAACUAGAAACACCUCUAGAUUGACUUGCAAUAGAACAAGGACAUCCUAGUGAUGGUAAGUUGACCCAGUGUCAUCUCUCAAGGAAAGUCUUUAAGGGCUUUUAGUAGUAUCGCAAGAAAAACAAUAAAGAAAGCAGUAAAGAGAUUGAUUAUUAAACUAAAACUUAGAAUUAAAAACCUAAGUAAAAACCGAAUUGUAAAACUAAGCUAGGCGAAUUGAACUAUUAAACCCUAGACAAGAUUUUAAAGAACUUAAAUUAAACCUACUUAUGAAAGUAAAUACUUGUAAAAGUAAAGACUUCUAAUCUAGGCAUAAACUAAAGUGCAUAAUUUAAAUUGCAUAAUUAAGAAGAAAGCAUAAACAUGAAUGAAAAAACGUAAACAUGAUUAAACAGAAAUAAAUUAAAUUAAAUACGAAAUACCGUAAAAUCCUUGAACGUGUAAUCGUGUCACGCAAUCACAAUCCAAGAAACUAAACUAAAAACGAAAUUGAAAUCUAACUUAGAACAAUAAAAACUUGAAACUAUGAAAGUAAGUAAAUUCCUAAGCUUCGGAUGCCAACAGAUCUCCAAGAUGGCGUCUAAAACUAGGGUAAAGUAUUCUCUUAUACAAUGAAAACUAUGGCCCUAUUUAUAGACUUCAACUCCUUCUGGAUCACCAUGGAAAUUACCAUGCAAAGCCGGACUCUAAAAGGAAUAGAAUCGUAGAUGAUAAGGUAACUCCAGCUAUGACGCGCUCAGCAAGUAAUCUCCACUCGGGCGGAAAUCGCGGCUCUCGCCAGAGAAAUGGCUAUCGCCAGAGGAACGGAUGACUUCUCUGAUCUUGUCAGCGGAAUGGGUUCCGCUCUGGUAUUGAUUCCUCUGACGUAUCUCUACCCUCUGGCAUAUUGACUCUUCUGGCGCUUUUCUCUCCUCUGGCGGUCGACUCCUCUGGCGCUUUUCUCUCCUCUGGCGGUCGACUCCUCUGGCGCUUUUCUCUGACUUAGCGAGUUCUCUGCUCUGUCUUCUCGAUUCCUCUGACUUUUGACUCCUCUGGCUAGCGACUUCUCUGACUAGUGACUCCUCUGGCUGGUGACUCCUCUGGCUGGUGACUCCUCUGGCAUUUCGAUUCCUCUGGCCUGACUUCUCUGGCCUGACUUCCGCGCGGGGUUUUAGCUCUGGCGCGGCCUUCUCGGUUCUGGCACGGGGGCUUUCCCUCUCUUCCAUGCUAGAGUGUGCACAAACACACGAUUCUUAGCCCAAAUUCUCCAAGAUUUGCACUCUUCAUCUCGAAAACCUAAAUCUUCUGCAAAGCAUAAAAUAGACCAUAAAACGCACCAAUUUCCAGAAGAUUUAACUUAAAAUAAGCACAUGCAAACCCCUAAAAUUAGAACAAUUAGGCAUAAAUCAACCCCCCCCCACACUUACGCUCCUUUGCUUCGUCCUACAAGACAAAAUUCCGUAUAGAACUCCUAGGAAGAGAUUGAUUUCAACAAUGCUAAUUUCCAUCCAAACAUUCUCAAAGUCAAUUCAAAAUUUUACAAUCAACACAUAUCUCUCGAUCAUGCAAGUAACUCAAAGUUUAAGAAGCAACAAAAGAGUAAUGUAAGUAAUUCGAUCAGACCCAAUUCUCCGCUAGAAGUGAAUUCCCUAAUGUGAUCGCCUUUAUAAUCAAUAUCACCAUUUUUCACACUUUGUGUGCUUAAGAUUUUCGACAGUUGAGCCAUAAUUCAUGAAAUAAAAACCAUUUGGAUGUAAUCCAAAGUCUUUUCACGUGGUUUCCCAUGCUCAUAGUUAGACUAGAGGAGCAGAGACUCAGAGUUGUCACAUUUCAGAACAGGCCAGAUGUUUCAGAGCUGGCAAUUUUGAAGUUGGCAAUUCGUCAAACAUUUUUCACAUUUCACAGAUAAGAUACGAUCGUAGGCAAUCACAAUGACAACACUCCUUCUAGCAUCUACCGGACAAAUCACAUUUUACAUAGAUAUCGUGCAAUGACAAACAUCUUCUAGCAUCACACAACACGUUUACUUAUACAAAGUCAAAAUACACAUCUUGCACAAACGAAAAAUCAAGAAAUAUCCCAUAUUCAUUAAAGCAAGAUUCGAACAAACAAUACUAUCUCGCCCAAUUGAAAAUAACCAAUAAAAACCCCCCACACUUAACAUGCCAUGUCCUCAGGCACAAAAAGAAAUAAGAAAGAGAAAACUGUCCCUGAUUAUGGCAUGGAAACUGAAGCAUCGUGCGAGGUGGUAAGAGGGGAAUUCGCUGGCUGUGGCAGAGUGGAGAAGUGCAGCGGGAGAAAGGCAGCGGUGGCGGAGUGCAGUGCGGAGAAUUUCAGCGCUGAAAAUAAGAUAUGCUCACCAAGCAUCAUAGUAUCCGCAAAGCAUCCAAACUUAGGAGAGACACGAAACACACAACUAAAAAAAAAAAACAGAAAGUAAAAACAAACCAACGGUGGGUUGCCUCCACCAAGCGCUAGAGUUAAGUCUCCAGCCCGACUUCAGUUUGAUCUUUAGUGAGGAUCGUGCAGAGUGUGAGACUCCACCACCAUCGGAGUACUCCGCCCAUAGUAGGAUUUCAUGCGAUGUCUGUCUCCUCUGAAAUUCUCCUUAGAAUGGGCUGCGCCAAGGUCAAACACGUCCUUUGGCAACACGCCUUCUUUAUUCAGGGACAACGCUACGAUCUGAACCUCGGCUUUUCCUUUUUCUCUUCUAAGAACAUGUAUUUGAGAUUGGCUGGGAGUUCCUUCAGUUCCAGCGCUGGCCUCGUGGUUCUCAUCUGUUCAUCAAUGGCAGCUCCGUAUGGCAGUGCAGCACUGAGCUCGGCAGAGCUGGACUGGACAUGGCUGAGCUCGGUAAAAGGGUGCAGCGCUGGGCAGUGGAGAGCUGAAGGUUGCAGAGCUGAAGGGGGCAGCGCUGGGCAGUGGAGAGCUGAACUCUUUAGCUUCCCGAGCUAGCUCUUCCAUGUCUGUCGAUCCAGCACAGACUUCCACACACUCCUGCUCCUGUAAAAAUACCUUCUCAACCAAGCCAUCAAUAGGAUCUAUAAAGGAGCAUUCGUUGAUAAAAUUUGCAGAAGGCAUAGCACGACUAUCAUGCACAGAGAAAGACACUGACUCCCCUAACACAGUCAUUUUAAUAUUUCCAUCCUUAACAUCAAUUAAGGUGUUAGUGGUUGCCAUAAACGGUCUUCCUAACAGUAGUGUGUGCUCUACACCAUUUUCAUGCACCUCCCCAAUGUCGAGAACCACAAAAUCUACGGGAAUAAUCAAGCCCCCAACAUUCACUAAAACAUCCUCUAUGAUCCCACGGGGGUAUCUAACGGACCUAUCGGCGAGUUGUAGCACAUGCGGGUGGGUUUAAAUCACCUAACUCUAAUUGUUUGAAAAUAGAGUAAGGCAUAAGGUUAAUUCCAGCACCCAAAUCUAACAUUCCGUACUUCCUUACCAUUUCCUAAAGCAUUUUAAUCACGAACUACCUGGGUCGCGUUGCUUUGGUGGCAGAGGCUGUUGUAUGAUCGAGUUCGCAAUUUCUGAGACCAGAACCUUCUCAUUGUCCUCGAACUUCCGCUUGUUGGAGACUAACUCCUCGAAAAACUUCACAUACGCUGGGACUUUUCUGAUCACAUCCAGGAGGGGCAGAUUCAGUUCACUUGGCAAGCAUGUUAGUAGAAGUCGGCGAACUGUUUAUCCAUCUUUUAUUCCGCAAUCUGCCCGGAAAGGGAUUGGUGGCCGAUAAGGUGUAGUGGAUUUGUGUAGUUUGGCCUUUUUUCCUUCCUCCAUCACUCCGUCUUUUGGCUGAUCUUCCUUCUCUCCUUCCUUUUUCUUCUGGUCUGGUCCUUUUUCUUCAUAAGGGCUCGUCAGAGUGGAACUUGGCAGAAUUGAACCUUGUGCGGUGGAACUCUGCACGAUCUGACUUCAUCCCACGAGUGUUCAAGUACGCGCAUCUCUGGAUCGGCAGACUGGCUUCGCCAGAGGUGACUUCGGCAUCUCUGGAAUCGGCAGGACUGGCUUCGCCAGAGGUGAUUUCGGAAGCUCUGACUUUGGCAUGGCUAAACUCGUCAGAGCUGGUGAUCGUGACAGAGUGAACGGCUUUGUUAGAACUGGCUUUCUUAUCAGACUCGUGGCCUGCGAGUCGGCUCUUGCAUCUUCACUUGAUUGUCUCCGAAUUACCACUAUGCAGAAUAGUGAUAGCUGACCUGAUGAGUUUGCAAGGGUUAUCAUUGAAUAUUCCGGGGUGCUUUUGCUUCGCAAUGGUCAAGCUGCCUUUCAGUAUACAGUACUCUUGUCUUAAGUCUUUUUACUUGUGGAUACGUUGAGACUCUCAUAUUCUAGUUUGGUCAUCUGCCUUUUUUGCUUCUGAUUUUCGUCAAAACUUGCAAGGUCAUUUUUCAAUUGUUGACUUCUGGGUGUGAGCAAUCUUAGCUGCGAAUCGCUGAAGAUUCCCUUGUUGUUAGAUAGCACUCGUGUAUCUUGUUGGGCAGCAAUAUCCUUGCAGUGUAUGGUAUGUUGAAAUUUUAAUCCAUUAAUUGACUAUGUCCAUUGAUCAUAUUUCAGUCGUGUCUGGUGUGCCACUUGGUCGAAUCAAUCUCCUAGAUGACAGUCUUGGCGUUGAUUGUAGAUGUUGCACUAACGUCCAGGGUCUCUCUGAAUCCAGCUUCUCGACUCUGUAGAUAUCCAUGUUCCGUAUUGACCUCAGCUUGUCCUUCCGGAGUUAAUUCUGCCAUUCGAUGACACUCAUGGUCUCGAUGGCUGACAUCUUCACAAAUACCACUACGGCUCUACGUACUGCAUGGCUGGAUUCGGCGAGGUUGAACUCUGAACUGGAGAAUUUUCCAUCUUGCCCAUCUUGAGAUGCUCCAUGUUUAGCCCUAUUUUGUGAUAAAUCGCUGGGUGUUUACGUGUUAUAUUGACUUUUAUUUUGGUCUCUUUCACUUAAGAGUUGAAUGAUUUGAGCUUUUGUGCUAAUUUUGUUGUCUCAGGAUUUUGUGCUCACAUUGAUUGAUAUGUGAACAAAAUUAAAGUCAGAAUUUAGUUGAAUGGUCUGAUGAAGAAUCAAAGUUCGUCUCGAUACGAGUUCGUAGGCGAAAACGGAUCUAAAAUCCGACUUGAAACGAGGGAGAACGGACCAAAACAAAAACGCCGCGCGCACGGCGCCCGCCUAGCCUCGCCGCUCGCCUACUUUGGAUUUACGAAAGGGGUAGUAGGCGGCCGCCUACUUCUCUAGGCCACCGCCUACUUCUAGGCCACCGCCUUCUCUAGGCCACCGCCUACUUCUAGGCCACCGCCUUCUCUAGGCGGCCGCCUACUGCGUGAUCUGGCAGUUACGAAUUUUUUAGUUUAAAACCCAUCUCUAGGGUUUCACUUUAUAUUCUCGUCUCCAGCAGCCUCCAUAGGCGAUUUUCACCUCUUUCUUAAGGUUUUUAGAGUUUCACAACACUUACUUUCGAUCUUGGAUUCAUUGGAUUGCUUUGGAUGUCAAUUAACAUUUCAUCCGAUUGGAUUUCCUUGGAUUGCUACGUUAUGUAAGAACUCCCUUUGAUUCUCUUUGUUUAUGAAUCCCUUGGUUAUUUAAGUCUUUGUUUCUUGUCUUUAAUGAAUAUGAUGAUUGAAGAUUAUUGUUGUUGAUUCUAUAUUCUCUUGGUUUUAUGAAUCUUUUGGUUAAUUGAGUUUUGUGUUUUAUGUAUUUGAUGAAUGUGAAGAUUGAAGUUCAUUGUUGUUGAUUCUAGAUUCUCUUGGUUUUCUAAAUCCUUUGGUUUAUUGAAUCUUUAUUUUGUGUUUUGAUUAAUAUGAUGAUUGGAGAUAAUUGUUGUUGAGUUUAGAUAAUCUACGUGAUUCGUAGUUUGUUGCUAUUGUUUACCCUUUUCCUUUCUUGUUGAUGAAUAUUUAGAGAUUUCUUUUAUGGAGAUUAAGAUUUUCUUGCAUUCGAAUCUUAUGCUUGAUUGAGUUUCUUGCCUAGGUAGUUAUUAAUCUUUGAUGUUUACAAGUUUAUGAUCGUUUGGUUUAGUGUUGGAGUUGGAAACUCUAGUUGAUUUCGUUAAUGUUCAAAUGCCAUGUUCUAGUUAGUUCGUCGUUGAGUUGCUUGCGAAAUUCUCUUUGAUUGUGUGUGUUUGCUUAACAUUCAUUUGAUUAAAUGUUAAUAUGUUAUUUCGCCUAGAUAAUCGUUGUUUAUGGUGUUGAAUUGAUGAUUGCUUUCUAGAUUGCUAGUUUAGAACCUUAGCUUUGUUUGCCUUCUUGCGUUCUUAUUGGCUUCCUAUCUUUUGCCUAGUUAACUUUAUAUGCUUUAUUUUAAUUACGCAUUAGUUAAUCGGAGAGAAAGUGUCAGACCCAAUUUUCUGAUUAGAGUGUUUAGAUUUCUUUUAAGUUUCUUGUGAGCAAUACGAUUAGAGCCCUGCUAAGUCUUCCUUGUGAGACGACUUGAGUCACCUUACCACCCUAGGACGACCUCGUAUAAAUUCGAGUCCAUCCGUUAGGUGUUUUUGGAUGAGUCAAAUUUUGGCGCCGUUGCCGGGGAAGGCUUUAGGCAUUUGAUUGUGUUGCAUUGUUUUCCGUGUUUAUUUUUGUUUAUUUCUUUUGACUCGGUUAUUUUCUCCCUCCGGUGCGUUUGAUUUGUUUGUUUGUGUUGUGUAUGCAAGGACGUAGAAGCUUGAAGAGAAAGCUUGCACCUUACUACGACAACAUUCAUCGACCUCGGGAGGUUCUUUCAAGCCUAGAGAAGGAGUCCGAGUCCAGUUCGAGAAGUUUUGUGGAAUCACAGUUUCAAGAGAAAAACUGUGAAGAGAGAAUUGCUUCCAAUCCCAUUCUGGAAACCGUUGAGGAGACACUUUCCGUGCAUUCUGAAGAAGAAGAAGAAGCUCGGCCCAAUCCUGACCAAGAAGCAAUGGCGGAGCAGAAUGUCCAGUACAUGGGAGAUUUUUCCAGGCCAGUUAUUGGGACCACUAGCACUUCUGCGAUAGUGUUUCCCACGGCGGUCCGGAAUUAUAAUCUGAAGCCCAACGACUCAAACCUGCUGCCGCUCUUUCACGGGAUGCCCAGUGAGGACGCCUUGCAGUUCAUCCGUGAUUUCUGCACCCAAGUGCAGACCUUCCCACUGCUGGAACUCACCGAGGAUCAGUUGAGACUCAAGUGCUUACCUUAUGCACUCAAGGACCGGGCGAGAACGUGGUUGCUGUCCCUGCCGCCGAACUCCAUCACUACAUGGGGAGAGGCGUGUGAGAAGUUCAUGCUCAAGUACUACCCUAAUCACAAGACUCAAGAGAUUAGGAGCCAAAUAAUGAACUUCAUGCAAGGAGCUGACGAGCCUCUCCACGAGGCUUGGGAGAGAUUCCAAGAGCUCCUCCGCCAGUGCCCACAGCACCAGUUAUCACCUGUCAUGUUGAUGCAGUUCUUCUAUGACGGAUUGAUUCAGACGGCACAGUUUAUGGUGGACAGUACAGCAGGGGGCAACAUUGCCCGGAAGACAGCUGAUGAGCUCAAGGAGAUUUUCAACACACUUGCAGCGAGUUCUCAACAGAAAUCAGCUAGAGGAAGGAGGGUUGAAGCCAAUGCAGUAGCUCCCAACAAUGAGCUUCAGAAGCAAGUAGCAGAAUUGAUGAGGCAAGUUCAGCACCUCAAGAUGAACCAGGCAGAAGCCCACCAGUUCACGCGCCACCAGCAGAAGGAUGUGGAAUUUGUGGCGAUUUUGGUCAUGGAACCAACGCGUGCCAUCGCAUGGGGGGAUUCACACCUGAAGGAGAAGCAGAGGUCUAUGCUGCUCAGAGCUAUCCGGGGAGGCCUCAAUUUGAACAGAGGCCUAUCUUUAAUCAAGGGCAACAAAGCUCCAAUUCGGGUUGGAGAGCUCAGCAGCAGAACUACACUCAAGCUUAUCAGCAGCAGCAGCCCCCGCAGUAUCAGCAGUAUCAACAGUUCCCUAUGCAACAAGGGAAUUUUCAGCAGCAGCAGCAAUACCAGAAUGCCUCCCAACAGUGUCAGAAGCAAGCUCAACCGCAGAAGCCGUCUCUCGAGGACACCAUGCAGUCCUUCAUGGAGAUGACCAAACAGAACAUGGAGUCUCAGAGUGCUACCAUCAAGCGCCUCGAGACUACAGUUGGGCAACUUACAGGAGCCCUAAAUCAGCUGCAGCAAGAACAGCCAACUGGGAAGUUCCUAAACCAGGACAAACAGCCGCGUCAAGCUCAUGCCGUGGCGGUAAUCAAGGAAACUACCCCAAUAACCACGGGGAAAUGGAGAAGCAGAACCGUGCAAGCAAUCAAGGCAACCCAAUGCCCCAGUGAGCCACUGCCACCUGUCACUGUUGCACCAGACCAACCACCACCCAAGCAAGGAGAUCCAGGUAGCUUUAUCGUUGAUAUUAGCUUAGGAGGGGUUGAAAAGGUCUUGGGAAUGCUUGAUUUGGGCGCGGCAGUCAAUUUGAUGCCGCUUGAUAUUUUUGAGAGGUUGGGAAAUAAAGAGCUGAAAUGCACGAACAUUAAGAUAGAACUAGCUGACGGCUCCAUUAGCAGCCCACGAGGCCUUGUAGAGGAUGUUGAGGUAGUCGUGAGGGGGAUUAGUGUUUUAGCUGACUUUGUUGUACUUGAUGUGGGAAAAGGGAUUAGAGGCGAGAAUGGGCAUCUCGUGCUACUUGGCCGACCCUUUAUGGCUACCACCCAUACUCGCAUUGAUGUGGGUACGGGAACUGUAAGUAUGGUAGGGGCAGGUAGAGCGGUAACAUUCUCUGUUUUUGAUCAAAAACCUACUACCCCCACUCGCUUAAUUCAAAUCUGCUCUUAUGUUGAAACCUUUAAUGCUUUGGAUGAGGAUUGUAUUGUGCAGGAAUUCCUUAAUAAGUUGCAGGAGGAGGACGAGAUUGUGGAGGAAUUCCUUGCUACCUUGCAGGAUGAAGCUGACAUUGAGCAGGAUCUCUGGAUAAGCUGCACGAGGAGUGAUAUUGAGCAAGGUUUUCUGUGUGCCUUGCUCCUAGAAGAGAAGCUUGAUGAGGUUGGGUCAUUCAAUCUCGUGGGAUGUGUGGAUAGAGGGCCAUCCCAGGAUACGAGCAAUGGAGGACUCAUUUGGAGGACCCGCAGCUGCAAUUCAAGAAGAUGUGUUUACCAAGGGCGUUAAGGCAGCUGGAUNAAUUGCUGGAAAAGCUGCAAGAGGAAGAUGAUAAGAGCAAGGCCUUCUGUGUGCUUUGCUAUUGGAAGAAAAGCUUGAUGAGGUUGAGUCACUCAAUUUCGUUGGAUGUGUGGAUAGAGGGCCAUCCCAGGAUAUGAGCAUGGAUGACUCAUUUGGAGGACCCGCAGCUGCAACUCAAGAAGAUGUGUUUACAAGGGCGCUAAGGCAGCUGGAGCUUCAAUCGGAUUUUGGUUAAGGGGUUCUCUUAGUCGGGCUGGCGACUUAAAAACUAGCGCUGCAUGGGAGGCAACCCAUGUUUUCUUGCUUUUUCUUGUUUCGUUUUUCUUUCGUUUUGUUUGUGUUGUGUUUUGUUGCUUCUGUUGUUUGGUGCAGGUUGUUGCGUUGGAGACUGCUUGUUCUUUGGAUGAGAGAGAGGCAGACAUCGUGGGACACUACAGACUCACCACUGGAUCGGUAUUUAGGGAAGUUUCCUCUUUCACCUCUCUUUUUGUUUGCACUGAGGACAGUGCCAGAUUUUAAGUGGGGGGGGUGUUUGUUGGUAGUUGUGAUCCUUUGGGUGCCUUUUUGUUGUGUUUUUGGGCUUUCUUGUGUGGGGCAAAUGGUCUCCUUUAUCUUGAUUGUUGUUUGGCUUCAAGUAAUAAUGCACACUUUGAUGAUUUGUUCACAAGUAAAUUUCAUGCUUUGUGUUGGCUUGGUUGCUAUCUUUGUCUCUCAGGCUAUGCAUAUUCCUCUCUUGAUGUAAGUUGUUUAAUGUUUUGGAUGCAACACCCUUAUGAGUUAUUCUUGACGUGAUUUGUCCGGUAGAUGCUAGAGGGAGUGUUUUCAUUGUGAUAGCCUACGAUCUUAUCCCUUGAGUUUGAAUGUUGGUUUGUUGUGAAGUUUUCUAUAGCUCUGGGUCUCUGCUCCUCUGACGGUAGUGUUAUGAGCAUGGAAAACCACGUGAGAACAUUUUGGAUUACCUCCAAAAGUGUUGAUCUCACGAAAGUUGGCCCAUCUAUUGAGAAUGGAAUAACAUCACCUUUAAAAGAAAGAUGUAUAAAAUUUGAUUUUGGUUUGAUUGUUUAUCAUCUUCAAGGAAAAUGGGAUUUGAUUAUAAAGGCAAUCACAUUAGGGAAUUCACCUCUAGCGGAGAAUUGGGUCUGAUCGGAUUGAAUUGUAUCAUGUGGUUGUUGCUUCUUAAAAUCUUAACAAUGAACAUCUCGUGAGGAAUGUGAAUGGCUAAGAGACUUAGAUUGGUUGGAGAUGUGAAUGGUGAGGAAGUUUUCUUGUGAACUAUCUUUUGGUGUCGUGACUUUGCUUGAGGACAAGCAAAGGAUCAAGUGUGGGGGGUUGUUUAGCCCUAUUUUGUGAUGAAUAUCUGGGUGUUUACGUGUUAUAUUGACUUUUAUUUUGGUCUCUUUCACUUAAGAGUUGAAUGAUUUGAGCUUUUGUGCUAAUUUUGUUGUCUCAGGAUUUUAUGCUCAAAUUGAUUGAUAUGUGAACAAAACUAAAGUCAGAAUUUAGUUGAUUGGUCUGAAGAAGAAUCGAAGUUCGUCUCGAUACGAGUUCGUAGGCGAAAACGGAUCUAAAAUCCGACUUGAAACGAGGGAGAACGGACCAAAACAAAAACGCUGCGCAUUGCAGUCUGCGAAGGGCAUACACGGCGCCGCCGUGGGACGGCGGCCGCCGUCCCUGGGCGCGUUUUUUCCAUUUAAAAGUUGAAUUUUAGGGUUUUUCACCCCAUACUCGAACACAGCAGCCUCUAGGGCGAUUUCCACCAUUUUCCUUUGGUUUUUAGAGAUUCAAAACAUCUACAUUCGCUCUCGGAUUCAUUGGAUUAUUGUGAUUGCAAUUUACAUUACGUUGGAUUAAGUUCACUUGGAUCAUAUGCUUUUGUAAGAACUCACUUGAUUCUCUUUAGUUUAUUUGAAUCCUUUGGUUUGCCUCAGUAUUUGUUUAUGCUCUUGAUGAUUGAUAGUUCUAGAAUACCUUCUAUGAUGUGAAUGAUUGUUUAUGAUUUAAGUAUUCGGUUUGUUCUUUGUUGAUCGUUGAUGAAUGCUCUUGAUUGUUAGUUGAGGAAUCUUUCUAAGGAACAAUUAGAGUUUGGUUUGAAUUUGAAUUUCAUGUUUGAUCUUGUCUUCAUGCCUAGGUAGUGAUUAUUCGUUGUUUACGGGUUUAUGAUUGUUCGAUUUGACGUACUAGAUACAACCCUAGUUUGAUAGGUUUAAUGUUUAAUGUUUAAUCUCUACACUCUCAGUUGUUACAUAUCUACUGCAUAGUUAAUGUUUAUUGCUUCCUUUCGUUUAUGUCUUGGUGAUUAGAGAGUGAGAUAGUGCCAGACCCAACUACCCGAUUAGAAUGUUUAGGUUUACUUUCCGUUUCUUGUGAGUGAUACAAUCAGAGCCCUGCUUAGCCUUCCUUGAGAGACGACUUGGGUUAGCUUAUUACACUAGGACGACCUCGUACGAUUGCGAGUCAAUCCCUUAGGUGUUUUGGGUUGAGUCAGCUAUUAUGGAAUCAUUCCAUUACUUGAUCUCGUCUUGUUCAAGAUCAGACAUUUUUAUUCAUCACAUCCUAGUCCCUACCACAUCCGACAAGAUUUAGGAAUGUCUAGGUAAUUAGGAUGGCAUAACAAGAAGAGUGUUUGGAAGAAAACACGAGUUAUGAGAGCAGUCGUAGAAUAUAUUAUUACGGGACGAGCACAACUGUUCGAUUAUGGAUUUUCAUAUAUUAGCCAAGUAUGUAGAAAGCUAACCAUUUCGAGGAUGAGAAGAAGUGAUGCUAAGCCAGAAUAGGCAAUAGCAGAUUUAAGGAGAUCGAGAUGACAGAUUAGAACAGAUGACGUUUUCCACGACAGCAGACUGAGAUGACGACUAGUAUAGAAGUAGCAUCGUCGUCGUAGUACGGGACAUUUUAUUUCCGUUAUGCCCCGCAAUUAGUAAGGGUUCUCGAACGAGAAAAUUUUCUUAUAUGUCUAUACGACGAUGAUCAGAGAGUCCCUAUGCUUGAGUAGAGUUUUGAUCUGAGGUUACGAUGAUAGACAUGAAAUAUGUCUUUGACAUUGAGUUAUGAGAAUUAAGGAAAUAAUAUGAUAAGAGAUAAGGCAAUAAAACCGUAGCUGAUUACGAACGUCAGUUUCGCGACUUGGUUCGGUAUGCCACAUAUCGAGAAGAGAUGAACAAGAAGAUGUCAGAAUUAUUUCGAUCAGGUUUGAGAUAAGAGGUACGAGACGAUUUAACGAGUCGGAGUGCGGUUAUGUGUACUGAAACAUUAAAUAGAGCAUUGGAUAUAGAACUGGUAAUGUAGCCAGAGAAAGCGAUUUAAGCUUCAGCAACCCAAAACGAUUAAGAGCACUCGAAUGUGCAAUCUAUCUUUUUCUGGACAAGGGCAAGAAGGAAAGAGAAAAUGGGACAGAAUACCUGCUACACCUGUCGAGGGGACGGGCACUACUCAACCAGUGUCCAAAUCGUCAGCAAAGUGGAAGCGGAGAACGACCGAGUCAGUUCGCCGCAACUCAAAGCGAUAAAGGAAUCCUACCGCUACCCACCACAGCGACAACAGCCAGCCUUCGACCAGUCAGUCAAGAAAGCAACCACCAGCCCCCAGGCGAAUCAACCCAUCACCAGAGAGUGUUUCGCCUGAGCAGAAGGCUAGGACAAGAAUCGAAGAAAUCUAGCAGGUAUGGGUGAGUUGAAGGUGUACCAUAGUAAUACUUUUUAUAGGGAGCAUCCUAUUCUUUUAUUUCCCAUACUUGUAUCAAUACUAUGGAAUUGAACAUAGAGCCUGCUCCGCAACAUCUAAGAGUGAUGACUCAUAUAGCAGAACCAUACAGUCUCACUCGUAUGUCCUACUUAGAAUUCGAGCUAGAAUCGAUUAAGCUCAAGGCUAAAAACCUAAGGAUGAUGUCUAUAUGGCACAUAGAUAUUAUUUUGGAAUGGAUUGGUUAGAGGAGAACCAUGCGAGGAUACAAUGCAAGGAGAGACGAAUAUCGUUUCAAUUUCCAGGCCAAGAGCCUACUUCGUUUAUUGGCGUUGAGAGAAAAUAGAGAAAAGUCGCCAAUAAUUUCGGCGUUUCAAGCCCGAAAGCUUUUGCAGAGAAAGGAUACAACCGUGUAUGUUGUAUAACUGAAUCAGAGUGAAGAGUCCAAAACAAACAUAGAUGACGUGCCAGCCGUGCGAGAAUACAAAGAUGUUUUUCCUAAAGCUUUAUCAGGAUUACCCCCAGAUCGAUAGCUCGAGUUUACGAUUGAUCUUGAGCCCGGAGCCGCACCGACGUCAAAGGCACCAUAUAGAAUGGCUCCGGCAGAGUUGCAAGAGUUGAAGCUGCAACUACAAGAAUUGCUAGAUUUGGGCUUCAUUCGACCUAGUGUUUCCCCGUGGGGAGCACCGGUUUUCUUUGUCAAAAAGAAGGACGGUAGUUUGAGGUUAUGCAUUGACUACUGCGAGCUGGAUAAAUUGACACCGAAUAAUAAGUAUCCGUUACCUCGGAUCGAUGAUUUAUUCGAUCAACUCCAAGGAACGAGCACUUUUUCAAAGAUUGACUUGAGAACGGGGUAUCAUCAGUUGAAGAUAAGAUCAGAAGAUAUUUCCGAAGACGGCAUUUCGUACGAGAUACGGGCACUAUGAAUUCAUAGUCAUGCCUUUUGGAUUGAUGAAUGCUCCUGCAGUGUUCAUGGAUCUCAUGAACCGAGUCUUUCACGAAUACUUAGACAAGUUCAUGUUAGUGUUCAUAGAUGACAUUCUGAUUUACUCAAAGAGUAAACGAGAACACGAAGAAUAUUUGAGAAUCUUGAUAGAGGGUUGAGAGUUGAAAAGCUAUAUGCUAAGUUCAGCAAAUGUGAGUUCUGGCUUAAAGAAAUCAAUUUUCCUUGGCCAUGUCGUUUCUGCGAGAGGAAUCAAAGUAGACCCAGCAAAAGUUCAAGCAGUAGAGUGGAAAGCACCGACUACACCACAUGAAAUCCGCAGUUUUCUGGGAUUAGCAGGGUAUUACUGAAGAUUUAUUGAGGGCUUUCCAAAAAUUUCUAAGCCAUUGACGCACCUUGUUAGGUCCGGGGGGUCUCGAAUAGGUGUAUGGGGGGGGAAUACACCUAUAGGCUAUUAUUACAACAAUCUACCGACCUCAAUCAGAGGGAUCUCAGUCAGAGAUUAAAGCGAAACUUUACAAGCAAACAAGACACCUGUUUUACCGAAAUUAGUUUUGACCAACAGGGUUGACGACUGAUACUGAAAGCUCUUCAGUAAAGAGUUAUCAGUUAAGUCACAGGAACUUAACUGAUCCACGUAAGGGCUUCAGUCGUGUUUGCAAAGAUAGAGAUGAUAUCACUCUUCCUUACUAUCAGAGGAUAGUUCAGUCAGAUUGAUAUCAUACGCAGCGGAAAUUAAACUUAGUUUCGAAUAGCCUGGUGGAGCAGAUAGUUGGUAUUAAGGUUUCUCUUUUCUGUUAGUCAGUGUUCAGUUUUAUCAAUUGAAAUCGCACAAGUAUUGAAUGUAAAACUGAAAGCUGUAAAUAACACAGAGACUUUUACGUAGUUCGGAAAAACCCUUUCCUACAUCCACGGCUGGUUGAUCAGACCAACAAUCCACUCCGCAAGUGCUUGCCUGGUGCACUGCAAACCGUACCCGUGUGCUUGCCUGGUGCACACAACCGUAAACUGAAGAUAAACUCUCUUCAGCACCCACACACCUCGCGUAGGAUUUCCCUGCUAAGCACACCUCGUGCUCAGACUUCCCACUCAGAGUUCAGAGUACCUUCCUGAACUCCGAAUCACUCAAACACUCUUAUGGAGGAGAGGUUUAAACGAGUGCCAACUAUACUUACAAAGAACAAGUUCUUUGAAGCAAGUUUGACCUUUGGCUUCUGGGUAAACAGAUAUAUGCCUAGGGUCUAAGAGAAUGUAUGUAAUCAGUAGAGACUAUUUUGGCUUUGGAAUUCUCUUCUUCGAUUCAAGCUUUGGGCGGUUAAGCUUUAGGCUGAGUAGCAAUUUCGGCAGAGCUUCAGCUUAUGUCGUUGAAUCGGUGAAGAUUGAAGUGAUCCUCGAGCGCUAUUUGUAGGAGAACUCUUGAAUAGAUCCGUUGGCGUAAAUCGUCCUCAAGAUUUCUUCCGUUGGAGAGCAAUUCGAAUUUGGGCUGAGGCUUCAAUCUUCGAGGUUCCUUGUCUGUGUGGAAACGGCUCUCUUUGAUGGACAGGAGAAGUGACAUCUCUGAAAAGUAACCACCAGAUAGGAAUGACCUCUGCAGAGAUAAGAUAUUGUGAUAUCUCUGCAUUUAAUGCGGCUGUACUUGAGCGUACGUGGCUUCCUCUGAACUUGGAAGAUCAGUCCUAGGAGAAUGUUCAACUGAUACUUGACUUUAGUAUUAGUCCAUUGCGCGCAUUAAAUAAUCAGUCUUCAACUGAUUCUUCAACUGAUACUUCAGUUGGUAACUCCAGUCUUCAGUCUUUAGUCUUCAUUCUUCAGUCUUCAGUCUUCAGUCUUCGACACCGCAACUAAACUAGAAACGAACUCUAACACUUGAGUUCAAAACGAUUCUAGUCUAUUACAAAUAAGUCCUAUAUUUUGGUAUCAUCAAACAAGGGUUAUGAUAUUCCACAAGGUUCCCAACACACCUGCUAAAGAAAGAAGUUAAAUUUGAGUGGACGAACGAGUGUGAGUUAAGUUUUUUCAGAGCUGAAGAAGAGAAUUACCACUGCCCCAAUUUUAGCUAUUCCAAAGGCGAAUAAAGAAUAUGCAGUUUCUACAGACGCAUUGAAGAAUGGACUGGGAUGUGUACUGAUGCAAGAUGGAAGAGUUAUUGCAUAUACCUCACGACACCUCAGCACAUGCGAUGAAUUAUUCGACGCAUGAUUUAGAGUUAGUAGCCGUAGUGCAUGCUUUGAAGAUCUGGAGACACCAUCUUUAUGGAGUACGGUGUGAGAUAUAUACCGAUCACAAAAGUCUCAAAUACUUCUUUGAGCAAAAAGAUCUAAACAUGCGACAGAGAAGAUGGUUAGAGUUGGUGAAAGGAAUUACGAUUGCGGGAUAAAUUAUCACCCCGAAAAAGCUAACGUUGUCGCUGAUGCGUUGAGUAGAAAGAAUCAAGGAGAAUUAAGAUUUUUCCUUACUCGAGAAGAAAACUUGAUCAAAGAAUUCGAGAGAUUGAGAUUGGAGGUAGUGAUACCACCUCAAACGACGGAAAUAGUGAUUGCUACACUGAACGUUACAUCUGACCUACGAUCAAGGAUAAUCACAACUCAAAGAGAGGAUGAAAAGAUGGAGAGGUUACGAAUGAUGAUUCGAACCGAGAAGAUGGAGAAUUUUCAAGAAGCGGCAGACAAUGCCAUAUUAUUUGAUGGAAGAAUGUGUGCCUGAUAGAGAAGAGCUGAAAAAUGAAAUCAUGAGUGAAGCUCAUGACACCCCUUACACAACACACCCAGGAGGUACGAAGAAGUACCAAGAUUUAAAAACGAGAUUUUGGUGGGAAGGAAUGAAACGAGAGAUAGCAGCCUUUGAUUAGAGAUGUUUGGCAUGCCAGCAAGUGAACGCAUUACAUCAACGACCCUAUGGCAAGUUGCACCCAUUAGAAAUUCCUGAGCGGAAAUGGGAUCAUAUAGCCAUGGAUUUUGUAACUAGAUUGCCAAAAAUCUAAAAGAGGAAACACAACUAUUUGGGUAAUCAUAGAUCGAUUGACGAAGAGUGCACAUUGUAUACCGAUCCCAAUUACCUAUGGAUCUGACAAGUUAGCUCAGAUUUAUAUCCGAGAGAUAGUGCGAUUGCACGGAGUACCGAUGACGAUUACAUCGGAUCGAGAUUCCAGAUUUACUUCACGUUUCUGGAUGAGUAUGUAAAAAGAAUUAGGCACUAAACUGAUUUUUAGUACAGCCUUUCAUCCGCAGAUGGAUGGACAGUCCGAAAGGACUAUACAAGUUUUAGAAAACGUAAUUAGAACUAUUGUGCUAGAUAGAGGAAGUUAAUGGGAGCAAGUUUUGCCCCUGAUCGAGUUUGCUUAUAAUAACAGUUUUCAAUUGACUAAGAAGUGUCCCCCUUUUUGAUGAUGCCAAAACCACACAGCAGUUCUAGACAACAAAAAGACUGAACUCAUAGUACAAGUUCUAAACAAGGGUGAAAAGUUCCCCCUAACAAUAAACCUAAACAACUUGUACUUAGAGCAAGAACGAAAACAGUUCUAAAACAGAACUUAAAGAAGACAGAAAAACCAUAAUCAGAGCCUGGACAAAGAGUCAUUGUCUUCAGGUUGAGAUCAAAAAGAAGUUCAUUUCAUUAAUAAGACUGAUAAGCAUCAGUCGAGGUACAGAGCAAGACUUACAUUGGAAGUAAAAAAGAAAAACAAAAACAUCAUGGAACCAUGGACUCCAGCAGUCUGCUUGGCUGCGCCUUGAACUUCUUGAUCUUCAUCUUCUGUCUUCUGUCUUCUGUUCCUAAGCUUGUUCCACUCUCACUUGUGUUCCGUUGAUUGAGGUCUUGUCUCUUGGCGAUCUUCCUCAUGAUCAUCGAUGAAAUAGAGGAUGAUCAUGUUGCUUACCGACUUAAGUCAUUAGAUUGUUCUUCUUUCCCCCUUUUUGGCAACAUCAAAAAGAAGGCGAACUAAGAAGGAAGCAACUGCGAAGGAAGUUCGCAGAGGAAGAUAUUGGGGUAUUGGGGAUGCAGAAGGCGAAGGCUUAGAAGGAGGUUAGGAAGAAGAAAGAAAUGACGAGGAAGAAAAGAAGAGAAGCAGAGGGUUGAGGGUGAGGGGUUGUCAAUCAGGAGAUGUGAGGUCUCACUGUUGACAUAGCGCCGGUUGACAAUGAGUUCCUGCUCAUUGUUGUUCUCCGCAUGGCUCCACAAAAGCGAGAGGCCUUUCGUGAAGACGAUGAAGUCUGUCCUAUUUCAGACAGGUACUUCAAACCGAUGCACCGGGCAUGAGGAUAGAAGACACUCGCUUCGCUGGAUACAAGUGAGGGUAGAGCAAACUUUGACGCCGGAGAGACGUUGAGAUCCAGUGGAAGGGUCCGGUGAAGACCAGGUGUGUGAGCGUCAUUCUUCCACUCCAUGACUUUGCAGUCAUAGAUUUCUCCUUUAGUCGGAACAAUUUUUCUCUGCAACUUUUGGAAAGAUUGAAAAUUUUUCUCACAGUGAAGGCUGUGGAGAGUUGUUAGUUGAUGCAGAAAAAUCGUGAAGACAGCAUGGUAUAAAUAGACAAGAUUUAAACCAUGUGAGAAGAUGAAAGGUUUUUCGAAAAUUGUGCCUAAAAUGCAAUUUUAAGAGAAAACUCGCGUCCGCCGUCACUGCGAAGGACCGCGUCUUCAAAAAGUUGAAAGGCAUCAUUACAUUCUGUCAUGUCAAUGAGAUUUUCAAGAAAUUUUAUUGCAGAGGCAAAAAGGUUGGAAAGAUUUUUGGCAAAAAGAUCAGGACAAGUUCAAUCAAAACAGAUUUACACUUAAUAAAAAUCUUGUCCUUCUCGGAUAUUCCAUUUUCCAACAAUUUCCAACAAUUAGUUAAAGUUUUUGAAAGAAAGUGAUCAGUUAGAGAAAAGAUUUUGAACUAAAAACUUAAAGCUCUUAACUGAAAUAACUGAUUUUGAAAGGUAAGCAUUUAAAAUACUUACUGAUCAACUGAACAUCGUAGUCAGUUGAUACCACUUGAUCCUGGUUGUUUUCAUCAGGAUGACUUCUUCUUCAGAUGAGCAAUCGGACUUCAUUGCUUUCCACGUUGGCGAUCGUUGAAUCAGCAGUUGGUUGACCACCAGUCAGCAAGACUGUUUGAGAAGAUCUUCAAACACAGCAUCACUCUUCAGGGUUGAUGAGGCCGAUCUCUGCACAUAGACCAUUGAACCUCUCUUCUGGAAGAGCCUUGGUCAGCAGGUCCGCUCUCUGAAAAGCAGUGGGAAUCCAUUCCACAGAGACAUUCUUCUUUUCGACAUGAUCACGAAUGAAGUGAUGUCGAAUCUCAAUAUGCUUUACUCUGGUGUGGUGAACUGGAUUAUGGGAGAUUGCAAUAGCACUGGAGCUGUCGCAAUAGAUAGGAACUUCCUUUUCGUCGAUCCCAUAGUCCUUUAGUUGAUGGACUAACCACAGGAUUUGUGAGCAGCAGCUUCCGGCAGCAACAUAUUCAGCUUCAGUUGUAGAGGUGGCGACUGAAGUCUGCUUCUUUGAAAACCAAGAAAUGAGCUUGUUGCCUAGGAAUUGACAUGUUCCGGAGGUUGAUUUGCGAUCAAGCUUGCAUCCACCGAAGUCUGAAUCUGAAUAUCCGGUGAGCUUGAUGUCGUCGUCUGCUGGAUACCACAAUCCUAAAUUGGGCGUGCCUUUGAGAUAUCUCAGAAUCCGCUUUGCUGCAUCCAAAUGAGCGUCCUUAGGAUCUGAUUGAUAUCUUGCACAUACCCCGACUGCAAAUACGAUAUCUGGUCUGCUCGCAGUCAAAUACAGCAAAGAUCUAAUGAUUCUGCGUUUCAAGAAAUUUUAUUGCAGAGGCAAAAAGGUUGGAAGAUUUUUUGGCAAAAAGAUCAGGACAAGUUCAAUCAAAACAGAUUUCACUUAUAAAAAUCUUGUCCUAUUCGGAUAUUCCAUUUCCAACAAUUUCAAAAUCAGUUAAAGUUUUUGAAAGAAACUGAUCAGUUAGAGAAAAGAUUUUGAAUAAAAACUUAAAGCUCUAACUGAAAUAACUGAUUUUGAAAAGGUAAGCAUUUUAAAAUACUUACUGAUCAACUGAACAUGUAGUCAGUUGAUACCACUGAUCCUGGUGUUUCAUCAGGAUGACUUCUCUUCAGAUGAGCAUGGACUUCAUUGCUUUACGUGCGAUCGUGAACAGCAGUUGGUUGACCACCAGUCACAGACUUUGAGAAAUCUUCAAACACAGCAUCACUCUCAGGGUUGAUGAGGUCCAUCUUGCACAAGAAUCUUGAACCUCUCUUUGGAAGAGCCUUGGUCAGCAGGUCCGCUCUACUGAAAUAGCAGUGGGAAUCCAUUCCACAGAGACAUUCUUCUUUUCGACAUGAUCACGAAUGAAGUGAUGUCGAAUCUCAAUAUGUUUGACUCUGUGUGAUGAACUGGAUUCUGGAGAUUGCAAUAGCACUGGAGCUGUCGCAAUAGAUAGGAACUUCCUUUUCUCGAUCCCAUAGUCCUUUAGUUGAUGGACUAACCACAGGAUUUGUGAGCAGCAGCUUCGGCAGCAACAUAUUCAGCUUCAGUUGUAGAGGUGGCGACUGAAGUCGUUCUUGAAAACCAAGAGAUGAGCUUGUUCCUAGGAAUUGACAUGUUCCGGAGGUUGAUUUGCGAUCAAGCUUGCAUCCACCGAAGUCGGAGUCUGAAAAUCCGGUGAGCUUGAUGUCGUCUCUGCUGGGUACCAAAUCCUAAAUUGGGUGUGCCCUUGAGAUAUCUCAGAAUCCGCUUAGCUGCAUCAAAUGAGCUUCCUUAGGAUCUGAUUGAUAUCUUGCACAAACCCCGACUGACAAAUGCGAUAUCUGGUCUGCUCGCAGUCAAAUACAGACAAAAUCCAAUGAUUUCUCUGUACUUCUUCGAAGAGACAGAGCUUCCUUCUGAACCUGGAUCAACUUUCCAGUUUGUGUUCAUUGGGAUCUUGACUGAUUCAUGUGCUGAAUACCGAACUUAGCUAUCAGCUCCUUGGCAUACUUGGACUGGCUGAUCAGUAUUCCUUCUUUGGUCUGCUUGACUUGCAAUCCGAGAAAGAAAUUCAUUUCUCCCAUCAUGGACAUUUGGAAUUUGUUCGUCAUGAUGUCAGCAAACUUAUUGCACAUGCGUUCGGAUUUGGAUCCGAAGAUUAUGUCAUCGACAUAAAUUUGAACAAGCAAGAGAUCUUCUCCUUCUUUGAGAGUGAACAAAGUUCUGUCCACAGAUCCCUUUUUGAAGCCUUGUUCAACCAGAUACUCCGAGAGAGUAUCAUACCACGCUCUUGGUGCUUGCUUCAACCCAUAGAGUGCUUUCUUCAGCUUGUACACCUUUUCUGGUCCAGCAACCUCAAAUCCAGGAGGUUGUUCUACAUAGACUUCAUCUAUGAGCACUCCAUUAAGAAAUAGCACACUUGACAUCCAUUUGGUGUACCUUGAAACCUUUGUGAGCUGCGAAGGCUAAGAAGAGUCUGACUGCUUCCAAUCUGGCAACUGGGGCGAAUGUCUCGUCGUAGUCGAUUCCUUCUUCUUGACUGUAUCCUUUAGCCACAAGCCUUGCUUUGUUUCUCACAACGUUUCCUUCUUCGUCUUCCUUGUUCUUGAAAAUCCAUUUCAAGCCAAUCACCUUUGCAUCGUCUGGUCGAUCCACAAGCUCCCAAACUGAAUUCCGGUUGAAUUCAUUGAGUUCCUCUAGCAUUGCGAUGACCCAUUCAUUGGACUUCAGAGCUUCUUCAAUAUCCUUGGGCUCUGUAGUUGAUAAGAAACAGCUGAAAUUCUUAUCUUCGUUGAUGCAGUUCUGGUUGAUGUCGAAGACGAGGUUGCACAUUGAUCUCCGAGUCUUGACGCCAUCUGAUGGUUCUCCAAUGAUGUUCUCCUUAGAGUGGAGUUCAAACCAUCUUCGAUACUUCUUGAUCUCUUCAGGGGAUGGUGGAGCUUCUUCGGUCAGAAUAGCUCUGGGAUGUUGAGCACCUUCUGGAGCAGGGGUGAGUUGAGCUGGGGCGGCUUCUGCGCGUUCAACUUGAACUUCAGCAACUGGAGUUCCCCCUUGACUGAUGCCAUCUGUAUUGGCUCCAGUCUGGACUUCAGACCGUUGGUUGAUCUUCUGAUACUGAAGCAUCUCAGCAUCUUCAUCUUUGCCAGGUCCCCACACCAAGACAGUAGAGGGCUCGACAGUGUGGAUUUCAGCUUUGGAACCUUCCGUGAUCUGAACACCCUUUUCAGCAUCUUGUUCCCUGAAACCAUCUGUAGACUCAUCAAAGAUCACAUGAGGUGUUUCUUCUACACAAAUAGUUUGAGUAUUGAACACUCGAUAGGCUUUGCUUGAACGUUCUGUUCCAGAGUAUCCAAGGAAGACUCCUGGAUCAGCCUUGCUAUCGAAGGUGUUCAACCUCUUCUUAUCAUUGUUGUGUAUGAAACACUUAUAACCGAAAGCAUGAAAGUAGGCAAUCGAUGGCACUACAAGAAAAAUGAGUAUACAUGACACUGCAUACAUGACUCUUUUUAUGAAAAAGCGUCAUGUAUGAGCGCCUUUUUGGUAUACAUGAUGCUUUUUAAAAAAAAUGUCAUGUAUGCAGUGUCAUGUAUAGAAUACAUGACAUUGCGCUGACACUUUUAGUAAAAGCGUCAUGUAUGAGCGUCGUUUAUUCAUAGUAUACAUGACAUUUAUUUCAAAGCGUCAUGUAUGUGCGUUAAUUUAAAUGCUAUACAUGACAUUUAUUCAAAAUGUCAUGUAUUUGAUUGAAAAAACUGUCAUUAAUUGUAAUAUUCUUGACAUUUGGUGCAUAACGUCAACUAUAUUUAUAACAAGUGUCAUAUAUCCGUUAAUUUAAUUUCUCUAUGUAUAUCAUUAUAAAAUCGUCAUUAGUUACAUUAUUCUUGAUACAAAUUUAAAGCGUUAAGAAGUUGUAAAAAAACUGUCAUAUAUUUUUCUUAAAUGCAAUUUUUUGAAGAAAAAAAUAAUUAAAAACAUUGCACUUUUGUGAAGUAAAAACUGAAAUGACAAUGAAAAAUGAUUGAACUGUUGACUUUUUCCAUUAAAAUCAUGCUCAACCAACUGACAACAAGAUCUAGAAUAAAAUAAAAAAGGCACACAAUAAUAAUAAUAAUAAUAAUAAUAAUAAUAAUAUUAUUAUUAUUAUUAAAUAAAAUAUCAAUAAACAAUUAUUCAUUUUUAAAAAUUCAUUUAAAUAAGUAUAAGUAAACUAAAGUUUAAUUGUUAAGUUUGCUCCUCAUUUCCCAAACCCAGAAUCCCCACCCUCCUCUCCGGCUCUCCCCAUUACAGCCUCUGCCCGCCGCCUCUCUCCCUCACUUCUCACACUCAUGGCGGCUGCACGCCUCACGCCUCACGCCUGAGAAUUCAUCGGCGCCGCCACAGAAACUGGUGCUCGCUGCAGCCUCACGCGAGCAGAGCAGAGGCAGCAGCAUCCCGUGACCCUCAUCUCGCCGCUCUCCAGACAACUCCAGCCUCUCGUCGCCCUCAUCUCUUCGGUGUCUAGGAUCGCCGUCGGCCGUCGCGCUCGCCGCCUCCAUGACUCCAUCCUCCAGUUCACGAAUUAAGGUAAAAUCCUAGUUACUUAGGGCUCGAUUUGGCUGCAUAGAUGUUCUAUUUACCUAGGGCUCAAUUUGGCAGCAUAGAUGUUCUAUUUACCUAGGGCUCGAAAGAGCAGUGCCCUCUUUAUCCUAUUUUGAUUAAACAAUUGUCAUUACAGGUAAACAUGAUCUCCGAAAACUAUCAUUUAUACAAGUCGGCCAAAGAUACCUACAGAUCUUACAUUCUCGCUUACAAUUCAUACUCUAUGAAGGACAUCUUUAAUGUUCACAGGCUUGAUCUACAUGUACUUCAUUCAUAUUCUUCUAACUGAAACAUCUAUCAUGCAUAUCCCAAAUAAAUGUAUUGUGGUGAUGUCUGUCAUUAGUUAGAAAUUGCUUGUAAGAUAAAACUUUGCGGUCGUUUUAAUGAGGCUCGGCCCUUAGUCUGCUUUUCCUGUGCUUUCAAGGGUUCUUUUUAGGUUUUUUCUUUUUCCUUUUUAAUAAAAAUCGCAGUUUAAUUAAUAAAACUUUGCGGUGAUGUCUGGGAAGUAAUUUGAUUUGUGUGUAUAUUUAUAACUCAACAUCUAUGUCCUAACUUUGGUUUCUUUUUAGCUGUAUCUAUGUAGCUUAAGCUUUAAUAACAGAAAUUAGACUCUAGAUAUAUACCUAUACAACAUACCCAUACUGUUUUCCUCAUAUAUAUUAGCUUAAAUCUGGUCCAUCUAAUCAAUCCAGAAGAAAUGCACAAUCGUAUAAAAAAACUAUACAGUUGGCAUGAUGUUGCCAAAAGGACUGGGAUUGUGUACGGUCGUGUUUUUAAAUGCUCCAAUCAGUCUCUCAUAGAUCGUUUACCCAGGUACCUAUCUUGUGGUGCAUGGGCAGGCAAGCUCUUCUGCUUGGUCAUGAUAAUCGAUUUUCUGUUAUUGCGUCUACUCCAACUGUGGCAGCCUGAUAGGAACAUCGAGGUUGUGCCCGACUUUAAUCUCACAAGUCUUCAUGGUGGAGAAGAGAAGUGGGAUUUGGGAGCAGAUGAGAAAUAGAGGUACUCACUGGUAAGAACAAAGUAAGCACAUUAUCUUUUUACUUCUUUCUUUUUCUCUUUACCAUUUUGGGAUAGAAUACUAGUAGGUAAUCUCUGUCAUUGCUGCCAUUUGAGCACUUUUUUAGCUUAGCUUAUUGUUAAUUUGAAAUGCCUGUGCGUAGGUUUAGAAAUUAUAUACAAUACCAUCUACUUAUCCUAAGAGUUUUGGAAGAUAAAUUUCUGGUAUUAAAAAAAAAAUCAAACAGAAGUUGCGGCUCUCUCUCUCUCUAUAUAUAUAUAUAUGAACAACCACAUUGAGAAUCAUAUAGCUUCAUCGAAUGGUUGAGCAUUGUCAUUUGUCACAGUUGUUUGUGUUUUCUUCUGUGCGAUUAACUGAAGCUGAUAAUGUAAUAAAAUCUGCUGAGCUAAUUCUUCCUUAUGUGAUACCAGAUAUGAUCUGCAGAAAAUGGUUAUGUCUUCCUCAGACAAACACAAAAGACUGAAUAACUGUGUGCCUUAUAAUAUAGGGCUUAAAACAUGUGUACCAUAUUUAUUCUCUGAUUUUAGCUUACAAACAUUUGUUCGUGUUUAUUAUUUAUUGAGUUUAACUUCCCAUAUUCGAACUAUUUGGCUGCAGAAAAUUAUAAUUAUGUUAGAAUUAGUUCUGUAGAGAAUGUUUCCGUGCCACUAUGAUUUUCUUUCCAGUGCUCAUGAUCUAAUGAUUGAUCAAAAGUUUUUGACAUUAACUAUAAUCUUGUAUUACAAAUUCUUCAUUCGUGCCCCGAGUACUGUUGGAUUCAUUUAUUAGGAGAGUCAUUUUCCAAAUCCCUGAUAUUUGUGAUCUUAUAUUUUGGUCAUAUCUCAUGUUCAUCUAAUUCGGUUAUCUCUCUGUCAUGAUGGACAAGAAUCAUUAGUAGUAAGCUCCGAGAAGAGGUCGGCUCAGAGAAAACUAGAGCUAAAAUGGGACAAACUCAGGUCAUGAAAAUGAUAAAGAAAACAUGCAUUAGAGCCAACAACUAUUUUUAGCCCCUCAGCCAGCUUGUUAGAGGAAAAGGAGCUUUAUAUGGUAAUAGAAAAGGUAGGGAGAACCUUCUGUAUGCCGCUGAUGCUGCUGAGAAUUUCAGUGAAAGAUAACAAUUUCUUUUCUUUGAUGGUGGAAUUUAUACAAGGUACUUUUCAUACAAAAGAUAUGGCUUUUCACUAAUUGGCUGUCUUUUCUUUUUAUUAUGCCAUCAGAGAAUUGGAAAUUAUCAGUUUCCAUUCCAUAUUAUGUUGAUAAAAGAUCUCAAUAUAGAUUUUAGACUAUUUCCAUCAGGUAUAUGCAGCCCGAUGCUUGUUGAACUUUGAUGCGAAUCAUGUAAUUUAGCAUUUCAUUUUACUCGAGUUUUUAAUUAUCUAAGCCUCUGCCAUGUCUAAUAUUUGUAAUUGCAGAAGGGUGAGUUACUUGGUAAUGAGAACAUUAAUAGAGCUAUAAUGUGGAAGAAAGAAGACCUAAAGAAAGCAAGGUGAAAUGAAGACUUAAAGAAAGCAAGGUGGGAGCGUUGAGAAUGAAGACUUGUACGUAGCUUUUUGUAUGGAUGUUGGAGAUGUUGUAUAAUAAUAGAUCUUUUGUGGAUGUUGGAUAGUUGAUUAUUAUCAAUGAUUAAAUGACAUUUCCAAUAUGUGUGAAUUUGUUAUUUUAUUCUAUUUAAUGAUAUUUAUAAAUUUAAAAUAGAAAAAAAUAAAUAAAAUAGGAAAAAAUAUAUUUUAAAUUCUGAAAGAUCAUAGAUGACAGUUCUUGAAAUGUCAUAUAUGGUAUCUAACUUUGACAAUUUUUCUCCCAAAGAUGACGGUUGAAAAGUGUCAAGUAUAUACAUAGAAAUGUCAUGAAAACCUACAUACAUGACGGUGAGAAAGUGUCAAAUAUAUACCAAUAACCGUCAUGUAUUAUAUUUUACUUGACGGUCCGAAAACGUCAAGAAAAAUAUUAUGAGUGUCAAGUAUUGCAUAAUAGUUGACGGUUACAAACCGUCAUAUAUACAUACAUAACCGUCAAGAAUAAUGAGAAUAGAUGACGGUUAAAAACCGUCAUCUAUACUAGGUACUAUACAUGACACCACUAUACUUGACGGUCGACGGAUAUCAUAGAUGACGGUGAAAAACCGUCAAGUAUGAGCGAAUUUCUUGUAGUGUGGCUUUCUGUUCUUCCAUAACUCGUAUGGAGUUCUUCCAUGUCUCUGAGUGAGGAAGGAGCGAUUCUGCGUGUAGCAUGCGUUGUUGACUGCUUCGGCCCAAAACUUCAAGGGGAGUUUUGACUCGGCUAGCAUCGUCCUGGCUGCUUCCUUUAGAGAUCGGUUUCUUCUUUCUGCAACUCCAUUCUGCUGUGGAGUUCUUGCUGCAGAAGUUUGAUGAUUGAUUCCUUGUUCAUCACAAUACUCACGAAUGACAGUAUUGAGGAACUCAGUCCCACGAUCUGAUUGAUGCUGAUGAUGUUGACUUCCUUUUCAACGCUCAGUCUUCUCAGCAGCUUUGGCAGUUCCUCCAGUGUCUCCUUCUUUUUGAAGAGAAAGAUAACCCAAGUAUAUCGUGAAUAAUCAUCCAAAACUACCAAGGUGUACUUCCUACCGUUGUAGCUUCUUGGAGUGAUCGGGCCAAACAGAUCCAUGUGAAGUAGAUGUAGAAUCCUUCCAGAGGAGUGUCCUAUCUUUGACUUUAAUGACGUCCGCGUCUGCUUUCCUCUGAGGCAUGCUUCACAUUCUUGCUUCUUCUGGAAUACAAUAGAAGGAAGACCUUCUACCAGUUGAUGUUUAGCAAGUUUGUUGAUCGUCUUGAAGUUGAGAUGGUUGAGUCUCUUGUGCCAUAGCCAAUUGAGCUCCGAGCUGCUCUUGCUGAUGAGGCACGUUUCUGGUGGGCUGUCUUCCCAAGAAACGGCGUAGAGACUCCCUUGUCUGAAUCCCUUCAGAACCACCUUCUUCUGAUUGUUUCUAACAGUGAAUUCAUCCUUUUUGAUUUUCACUGUGAAACCACUGUCACAAAAUUGACUCACAGACAACAGAUUAUGUUUAAGACCAGAAACAAAGCUAACAUUACUGAUACUGGCGUUACCCAUGUUGAGCACACCGUAGCCUUUCGUUUCUCCAAUCGAGUUGUCUCCGAAUGCAACUUUGGAUCCAGCUUUCUCAACAUACUGGGAUAGAUAUUAUUUGUAGCCCGUCAUAUGCUUCGAACAGCCACUGUCCAGAUACCACAUUCUGAUUGAAGCUUUGGCCUCUUCCUUCUUUUUAUGUUUCCUGACAUUGACCUGCAAGGAAGAGUUGCUUCAGGCACCCAAUCAAACUUUGGGUCCUUCAAUGUUAGUUCGAGUUCCCUUUGGAACCCAAAUCUGCUUCAGAAUUGGUCUGGCUGAUCUUUUGCGCUUUGUUGGAUGUCUGAUCGAUGUCGUUGGCGCUUCAGGUGGCACUUGAGCAUUCUUCUGUUGAGAAAUCCUUUUGAAGGCCUCACUCUUGUAGCAGUUCUGUCUGAUGAGUGGUUGAGGUCUUCUUUGCUCGGUGAAGUAUCUUCCUUGAGAUACUUUAGUCUUUGCAGACUUAUGGAGAUUUGUCUGUCGUCCAGUGGCUUGUCGUCGAGGAAUUGGCAUGGCUCGACUGGACUCAGCAUUGCUAGAUCUCCAUGGAUGUUGUUCAUUUUGAAACUGAACUGAGGAUGUCAGUUUCUGACUGUAGGGGGUGAAUCCGACAAUUACGGAAGUGACGUCAGUCACGUCAGGAUCGACGGGCACUAGCAACCUGAGACCACAAGUAACGUUAGAGCCCUCCGAAGAGCACCGGUGGGGGUGUCGAUGGAAGGGCCUCCGACGCUCAAGUCAGUGAACGGAUAUAAGUAAUAAAUGUAAAUAACGUAACUAAAAUAAAUGAUAAAGAGAAGAUAGUAGUAAGCGAUGUAUCCGGAAGACCGGGGUGUUCAGGAGGUUGAAUUAAAGCUAGUGAGCGACGUGGAAUGAGGGGCGACGGACGUCCGGGCUAGCGGGGCUAGCGGGGCGAUCGGAACCCUAGAAUGUUGUGAGCGUGGAGGCGGAACGAAAGAGCGGGGAGAGCGGGAGAUAACAAGAGUGAGAGAUCGUGUGUAAGUGCAAGAGUGGAUACGAGUGAUUGUCGAUGUUCUGAUUGUGUUAGUGAAUUAGUAUAUGUAGGUUACGGACCUACGGGCAGGCGGCUAGGGUUAGAGUUUUGCUAGCAUACCCGUUGCAACCCUAGCAGUUCCGACUUCUUAGGAAACGACCUCCCGCGACUCUCGUCCGACUUGAUCGCCAAGCAACUGCCGCGUUUAGGGUUUCCUUGGGCGAAUUUAUGUAUCUUCCGCAUAUAGGCUUGACUUUGGGCUUUGUGCUAUGAGUGUCGUAUGGGCCGUUUUAUCGGACUAGCCCGUUGGGCCUUAUAAUUUUUACUAAUUGGACUAUUACGAAUUUUGUCCACUACAGUUUGUCCCCCACUCUCUAGUUGGAAUUAAUCCAACUUGAGAGUAUGACUCAUUUUCAUUUGAUAAAUCGAGUUUACAAGAGAAGUAUUUUGAGCAAAUAAUCUGGUGCAUUUUGCAUACAUUCAAUUUACACUUAUAUAUACAUAUAUAUUAUAUAUACAUAUAUAUAUAUAUAUAAUAAGAAUAAAUGAAUGAUUUACUCAAGGAUAAAGGAAUGAUUUGCUCAAAUUAUAAAACUUUUGUAAAAGUGGCUGAUUUCUCAAAUGUAGUCAUUUAUUGUGGACCCCACUAAAUAUUUAAACAACUCUUACCUUAGCAAAUAUCGGUGAGAAAGGUAUAGUAUUUGGGGAUGACCCGAUUUUUUUUUUUUUUUGUGGGCCCUUUCAGGAAUGCAUAUGGCCUAAUAGUGACAUGGGAAAUUGGAAUAUACGUAGUGUGCAGGAUGUGUGUAACCACUUUUGCUUAGUCACUAAUAUAUUAUAUAAAUAUAUUUGACUUUAUAUUUCUGCAUGCCAUAUGUUGAUAAAGUAAAAAGGGGGGCAUGCAGGGAGCAGGAAAUUACUAUUUUCAAGACAGAGAAAAAUUGGGGGUGAUACAGGACUGCAUGGAGUUCUCACUCUUUCUCAUUUUUUGCUUUUAGGUGGGCCCACUAGAGUAACACAUAGUUUAACGUAGGAAAUUACAUGAAGUGUCGGACUUGUAGGACGUUCAGGGUGUCUUUGAAUUCGUGGUAUUUUAUCUUUGUGUUUGCAUCAUUUAUUUUUUUUUCUUUCUUGUGGGACCACUGGAGAAGCAUGCCACCUAAGAAGAUGUAGUACAGGUGGUGGAGUGAGGAGUAUGCAUGUGGUGCGGGAAGAUACGACUCUUCUACUUCACUGCUUACAUAAGGAAAGUUCCUCUGACAUUGCUUCUCAAAAAAUGUUGGUGCUACAGCUAAUAUAUGUACGAUUAAUCAGUCGCGAAUUGAAAGCUCACGAAUUGAGUGUAGAAUAUUUGUACCUGAGUUUGUAUUAGCUGAAUUUGAAUUUACGUUUUCGGGUCCGUUUUUUACUUCAGUUUCCUACUUUAUAUAAUGGGGAGUUUGUCUCCCAUUCUAUCACAAAAAAUUCGACCAUUUGAAUGUUGGAGUUUUGGAGAAAGGAGGAGUAGAGAGAAGAUUUUUGGGAGAGUUUUGGAGGUUGGUUUUUUCUCUCCACUUUCUUCGAAUGUUCUUCAAAUGUUCUUUAAAUAUUCUAAGCAUGUGGUUUUUGUUGUAUUGUGCCUUUGGAUGACUUUGAUUAUUCGUUUGUAGAAAUAGUGUUUGAUCCAUGCCAUCUAUUUUUAAAUGCGUUUUUUAUGUUUGUAGAAUCAUGUAGAAAAAUUUUCUAAGUAUAAAUGAUAGUGUAGAGCUUGCUUAUGCGGGUGCUUCGGGUUGAUACGGUUGAACACUUAGUGCGUAGAUGACGUUCCUUUGAAUAUUUAUGUAAUUACUUCGUAUCUUUGUGAUGUUAUGGGUGUCGUCCUUUAUAUAAAUUGCUUCAAUAUGCAUGUAGCUAAGUGGGUGACUCGCGAUCGGGCGAAUCGGUCUAUUGAACUUCGUAUUAUUUAUUUUUUGCAACUAUGUCGUCGGGUGAUCGGGGUAAUACGUCUAUUUGAACUUUUAGAAUUUAUCAUGUUCUAGGAUACCCGCGUGCUAUGUUGGGUAAUCGGGGAGGUUCGGUUGGUUCAUCGAGUAGGACUCAGCACCUGUCUGAGGAUAUAGAUUAUUGUGUUGACGAACACGCGGACGUCCCGGAUCGAGAGAUAGAAGUUUGGCAAGGUAAUUACGGUAGUUACGAUGAUGGAGGUGGUUUCGGAGUUCACAGUGAAGGGCUUAUCCCAGGGGCGGUGCCAAUGAUGGCGUUCCUCACUAACGGUAAUCCCGAGUCAUUCUUCAAAGACACGCGGCAACUACACGUCCUUCGGAAGUCCUACAGUAUUCCGGAUCAUGUCGCUCUUCAUGCUCCGGGUAGGCAAAUGCGAGCAAAUUUCCAUGCUCCAGGAUGGGUGUGCUUGUAUCAAGCACCGUUCGAACAGGGAAUGCGGCUUCCUCUACCCCGCUUGGUUGUUGAUUUUUGCCAUUAUCAUUGCCUCUCGCCCGGGCAACUUACGCCAAACUCUUGGCGUUUGUUAUUGAGUUUACAGGUGUUCAGUGAGUUACAUGGCUUCGACAUCUCCAUCGCCGAUGUAAAGAACACUUAUGAUCUUCUGAAUGUUCCAAAGGACAAAGGUCGUUACAAGUUAUGUAGGAAGAAAGGUUGUGAGCCUUUGAUUACGGACAUGGACGAUGGUGAAAGGGCUUGGAAGAGUAAAUAUUUUUUCGUUGAAUACGGUGCUUUGUGUAUUCCGGAAGGGAAGAGAGUUCCUUCUGUUUGGUCUAAUCCUAGUGAGUGUUAGAAUUGGUGGAGUCUUUCAUGCUUCUCAUUCUCCUCUUUAUGCUAUUCUUUCUAACACUUUGAUUAUCUUUGUGUGCAGGUUGUUUGAAAACUAUUCCUGUAGUGUUGAAUUUGGUUGAAAGGAACAACCGGUUUCUUCAAUACCCUCCUCCAUAUCGGAGUUGGAGGGUUAUUCUUCACGAUUUGAACAUUAAGCAGUCGUCGAUUUGGGCUCAAGUCCCUGCUCCUCCGGAAGGUACAUUCAUCCCUAAAACUCUUGCUGAAACUAGUGUCGUGGUAGGUCUCCGCUCUUUGGAAAUUUUGCGGGUGAAACAGGCUUAUAAAAAUUUGACUGAACUGACCCCGGAGCAACGAGUAUAUGCAGACGGUUGGAUGGCUGAAUUGAAGUUCCACUAUAAUCCGAAUGAGGUCGACACUGACGCCUUCGUGGCGAGACAACUGAAGAGGAAGAAGAAGAAGCAGGCAUCAAGCUCGAGUGUGCCAACAGAGCUGCCUAUUGCGACUGAUGCUCCGCGAUCUGACGUCCUUUCCGGUCGCUCCUCACGGAAAGGACUCCCACCCUGAUGAUGGUUGCUUAUCCGAUGGUUCUGUUCGUAGUUUGCCUGUUGGUGCUCGGCUCAUACCGAGUCAACGCGCUGUCAGGUCAGCUCGAAAAGCUUUACUUGAGGAGGACGAGCUGUUUUGAAUAACUAUGGGAGGAUGAAGCCUAUGACGUGUUCGCCUCUUCGGCUUUCGCGGUAAUAAAACUUGUCUUUUGUUUUUAUUUUCCCUUUGACAUGUUAUGCUUUUUUGACUAACUUGUGGUAUUUUGAUCUUCUUGUAGCAUAUCACAUGCUAUCUUUAUGAAGCAGGCUAGGCUUGAGCACAAACGGCAAUACAGGAUGUUCGUGCUGCUAAGGCUAGGAUAGAGAGUGAGCUUGUGGAAGCUCAGGAGUUGGUCAAGCGAGGCCAGGCAGACCGGAGUCUCUGGAAGCGUCUCUUCGGGCUCAAUUAGCUUUGAAAGAUGAGGAAAUCAGUCGUCUGAAGGCUGAACUAUCGGAGAUGGAGGCGAAUCGCGAUCUGGAGCUUUUCGAUGCUUGCCAUGAAGCUGUGCUCAAGUCCCGGGCUGAUAUGAGUCAGGAGGUCUUGGAUGGGACUUACAAGACUUGGGACAAUGCGGAGAACAUUCGAAAGUGGAAAGCUUAUCAAGACAAACUCAAUGGGGGUGGCCAACGUUGUGAGCGACGAUUGAUGUUGUUCCUUCCUUUAUUUCUGCUUUGGUUGGGCGUAUGUGCCCUUAAUAUUUGAUGUGUAAUUUAGGCAUUCGUGCCUUCAGACUUUGUUAAUUUUGCAUAGGGCGUAUGUAUCCUUGGAUUCUUACUAGUUUAAGUCUACGCAUUGGGCUGGACUUAAACUUUUUAUUGUAUUUACGGGAUGAUUUUUCGGAGUGUCCGGAUCGCCGGGGGGUUUGCCCCUUGGAUCGGCUAUAUAUGACUGUUUUAUAUUCGAGUGUUUGUAUAUUUACCUAUUCGGACUUAGCUGCUGAACCAAGACAGUAGUGUGAUGCAAGUCUCAGGGCUGCGCAGUUGCAGCUCAGCUCUGCCGGGCAGAGCUGGGCUGGAUGGUGGAAUGCUUCCGAGCAGGGCUGCGUUGGGCAAUCGAGCACUGUCGGGUAGGGCCGAGCUGGACAAGAAUAUUUUUCCCCCUAUGUUUCCCCCCAUUUAGACUUAGUUAUUUAAACUUAAGGCUAAAUUCAGGACGUUCAGGGUAAGACGGGUGUGCGCCUUUGACCUGAAAAUUUUUCUCCCCCAUUUAGACUUAGUUGUUUAAACUUAAGGCUAAAUUCAGGACGUUCAGGGUAAGACGGGCGUGCGCCUUUGACAUAGAAAAAUUUUCUUCCCUCCUUUGGAGACUCUAGGUGGUAAACUUAAGGCUAAUGCAGGAUGUCGCGGGUAGACGGGCGACGCCUUUGACAUGAAAAAUUUCACCACAUUUAGACUUAGNGGGACUAACGGCUCUUCUAAAGUGGAAAAGAGUUGAAGAGUGUUGGCCCUUACGGGACUAACGGCUCUUCUAAAGUGGAAGAGAGUUGAAGGGUGUUUGGUUCUUGGGUCUGGUUACGGCUCUUCCAUAGUGAAAGAGAGUUGGAGGGUGUUGGGUCUUACGGCUCUUACGGCUCUUAUAUAGUGAAAGAGAGUUGGAGAGUAUUGGGUCUUACGGCUCUUACGGCUCUUACAUAGUGAAAGAGAGUUGAAAGGUGUUGGGUCUUACGGCUCUUCCAUAGUGAAGUAGAGUAGGUGUCGUCGGAUCCUACGGGACCGACGGCUCUUCCAUAGUGGAAGCGAAGUGGGAGUCGUCGGGUCUACGGGACCGACGGCUCUUCCAUAUGAAGCAAGGUGGGAGUCGUCGGGUCACGGGACCGACGGCUCUUCCAUAUUGAAGCAAGGUGGGAGUCGUCGGGUUCUACGGGACCGACGGCUCUUCCAUAUGAAGCAGAGGUGGGAGUCGUCGGGUCCUACGGGACCGACGGCUCUUCCAAAGUGAAGCAAGUGAAAGUAGUCGGGUCCUACGGGACCGACGGCUCUUCCAAAGUGAAGCAAAGUGGCAGGUGCCAUUUAUGCCAGUUAAUGUAAUAUUUAUGUAUUUGUGGAUGUAUGUCUUUUUAUCAAUUGUAGUGGAGCGAAAAUUUUGAAAUCCGCCCACAAUGCCUUUACGUUUUUUACUCUUCUAUAUAGUGGGGAACUUGUCCCCCAUUCUCCCACACCAAGUAAUAGAGAUCUUUGGGAGCAUUUGGAUUUUGGGGCUCUUGGAAAAGGAGUAGAGAGAAGAUAUUUGGAGAGCUUUAGAGGUUGGUUUUUCUUUUUCUCUCUACCUUCUUGAAUGUUCUUUACAUGUUCUAGCAUGGAUACUUAUAAUUCUUGUGUAUUGUGCUUUUGAAUGACUUGAUUAUUCGUUUGUAGAAAUAGUGUUUGAUCCAUGCAGCAGUUUUACAGCAUUCUUCUAUGUUUGUAGACUCAUGUAGAAAUUUUUCUAAGUAUAAUUGGGAGUGUAGGGCUUGCUUAUGCGGGUGCUUCGGGUUGAUACGGUUGAACACUUAGUGCGUAGAUGACGCCCCUUGGAAUGUUUAUGUAAUCACUUCGUAUCUUCGUGGUAUUAUGGGUGUCGGUCCUUUACAUAAAUUGCUCAAGUACGCACGUAGCUAAGCGGGUAGCUUGCGAUCGGGCGACCGGUCUUAUCGAACUUCAUUUUAUUUAUUUUUUGCAACUAUGUCGUCGGGUGAUCGGGGUAAUACGUUUAUUUGAACUUUUAGAAUUUAUCCUGUUCUAGGAUAUCCGCGUGCUAUGUUGGGUAAUCGGGGAGGUUCGGUUGGUUCAUCGAGUAGGUGCAGCUCCCGUCUGAUGAUAUAGACUAUUGUGCUGACGAGAGCGCGGACAUCCCGGAUCGAGAGAUAGAAGUUUGGCAGGGUGAUCACGGUAGUUACGAUGGUGGUGUGGUUUUGGAGUUCACAGUGAAGGGCUUAUUCCAGGGGCGGUGCCAGUGAUGUCGUUCCUCAUUAACGGUAAUCCCGAGUCAUUCUUCAAGGACACGCGGCAACUACACGUCCUUCGGAAGUCCUACAGUAUUCCGAAUCAUGUCGCUCUUCAUGCUCCGGGUAGGCAAAUGCGAGCAAAUUUCCAUGCUCCAGGAUGGGUGUGUUUGUAUCAAGCACCGUUCGAACAGGGAAUGCGGCUUCCUCUACCCCGCUUGGUUAUUGAUUUUUGCCAUUAUCAUUGCCUCUCGCCCGGGCAACUUACGCCAAACUCUUGGCGGUUGUUAUUGAGUUUACAGGUAUUCAGUGAAUUACAUGGUUUCGACAUCUCCAUCGCCGAUGUAAAGAGCACUUAUGAUCUUCUGAAUGUUCCAAAGGACAAAGGUCGUUACAAGUUAUGUAGGAAGAAAGGUUGUGAGCCUUUGAUUACGGACAUGGAUGAUGGUGAAAGGGCUUGGAAGAGUAAAUAUUUUUUCGUUGAAUACGGUGCUUUGUGUAUUCCGGAAGGGAAGAGAGUUCCUUCUGUUUGGUCUAAUCCUAGUGAGUGUUAGAAUUGGUGGAGUCUUUCAUGCUUCUCAUCCUCCUCUUUAUGCUAUUCUUUCUAACACUUUGAUUAUCUUUGUGUGCAGGUUGUUUGAAAACUAUCCCUGUAGUGUUGGAUUUGGUUGAACGGAACAACGGUUUCUUCAAUACCCUCCUCCAUAUCGGAGUUGGAGGGUUAUUCUUCACGAUUUGAACAUUAAGCAGUCGUCGAUUUGGGCUCAAGUCCCUGCUCCUCCGGAAGGUACAUUCAUCCCUAAAACUCUUGCUGAAACUAGUGUCGUGGUAGGUCUCCGCUCUUUGGAAAUUUUGCGGGUGAAACAGGCUUAUAAAAAUUUGGCUGAACUGACCCCGGAGCAACGAGUAUAUGCAGACGGUUGGAUGGCUGAUUGAAGUUUCACUAUAAUCCGAAUGAGGUCGACACUGACGCCUUCGUGGCGAGACAACUGAAGAGGAAGAAGAAGAAGCAGGCAUCAAGCUCGAGUGUGCCAACAGAGCCGCCUAUUGCGACUGAUGCACCGCGAUCUGACGUCCUUUCCGGUCGCUCCUCACGGAAACGGACUCCCACACCUGAUGAUGGUUGCUUAUCCGAUGGUUCUGUUCACGUAGUUCUACCUGUUGGUGCUUCGGCUCAUACCGAGUACAACGCGCUGUCAGGUCAGCUCGAAAAGCUCUUACUUGAAGAGGACCGAGCUGUUUUGAACAACUAUGGGGAGGAUGAAGCCUAUGACGUGUUCGCCUCUUCGGCCUUCGCGGUGAUAAAACUUGUCUCUUGUUUUCAUUUUUCCUUUGACAUGUUAUUUUUAUUGACUAACUUGUGGUAUUUUGAUAUCUUCUUGCAGCACUAUCAGCAUGCUAUCUUUAUGAAGCAGGCUAGGCUUGAGCACAAACGGCAACUACAGGAUGUUCGUGCUGCUAAGGCUAGGAUAGAGAACGAGCUUGUGGAAGCUCAGAAGUUGGUCAAGCAAGGCCAGGCGGACCUGGAGUCCUUGGAAGCGUCUCUUCAGGCUCAAUUGGCUUCGAAAGAUGAGGAAAUCAGUCGUCUGAAGGCUGAACUGGCGGAGAUGGAGAAAAAUCGGGAGCUAGAGCUUUUCGAUGCUUGCCAUGAGGCUGUGCUCAAGUCCCGGGCUGAUAUGAGUCAGGAGGUCUUGGAUGGGUCUUACAAGACUUGGGACAAUGCUGAGAACAUUCGACAGUGGAAGGUGUAUCAAGACAAGCUUUCCGGGGUGGCCACUUCAGGCGACGUCGAUGGCGACGAGUGAUGUUGUCGUUUCCUUAACUCUGCUUUGGUUGGGCGUAUGUGCCUCUAAUAUCUUAUGUGUAAUUUAGGCAUUCGUGCCUUCAGACUUUGUUAAUUUUGCAUAGGGUGUAUGCAUCCUUGGAUUCUUACUAGUUUAAGCCUACGCCAUUGGGCUGGACUUAAAUUUUUUCUUGUAUUCACGAGAAUGAUUUUUCCGGAGUGUCCGGAUCGCCGGGGGGUUUGCCCCCUGGAUCGGCUAUAUAUGACUGUUUUAUAUUCGAGUGUUUGUAUAUUUUUCUUUACCUAUUCGGACUUAACUGUUGAACCAAGACAAGUAGAUGUGAUACGAGUCUCAGGGCUGCGCAGUUGAGCGCUUUCCGAGCAGGGCUGCGUUGGGCAAUCGAGCACUGUCGGGUAGGGCCGAGCCGGAUAAUAAUAUUUUUCCCCUAUGUUUCCCCCAUUUAGACUUCAGUUGUUUGAACUUAAGGCUAAAUUAAGGAUGUUCGGGGUGAGACGGGUGUGCGCCUUUGACCUGAAAAUUUUUCUCCCCCAUUUAGACUUAGUUAUUUAAACUUAAGGCUAAUUCGGGACUGCGGGUGAGACGGGCUUGCGCCUUUUACACGACAUUUAUCCCCCCAUUUAGACUUAGUUGUUAAACUUAAGGCUAAAUUCAGGAUAUGCGGGUUGAGACGGGCUUGCGCCUUUUACACGAAAAUUUAUCCCCCCAUUUAGACUUAGUUGUUGAACUUAAGGCUAAAUUCAGGAUAUGCGGGGCGAGACGGGGCUUGCGCCUUGUACACGAAAUUCUUGCGCCUUUUACACGAAAAUUUAUCCCCCCAUUUAGACUUAGUUGUUGAACUUAAGGCUAUAUNUGCGCCUUUGACCUGAAAAUUUUUUCACCCCCAUUUAGACUUAGUUAUUUAAACUUAAGGCUAAAUUCGGGACGUUCAGGGUAAGACGGGUGUGCGCCUUUGACCUGAAAAUUUUUCCCCCAUUUAGACUUAGUUGUUAAACUUAAGGCUAAAUUCAGGAUGUUCGGGGUGAGACGGGCUUGCGCUUUGACAUGAAAAUUUUCUUCCCCCCAUUUAGACUUUAGUUGUUUAAACUUAAGGCUAAAUUCAGGACAUUCGGGGUGAGACGGGCGUGAGCCUUUGACAUGAAAAUUUUCUCCCCCCAUUUAGACUUAGUUGUUUAACUUAAGGCUAAAUUCAGGAUAUGCGGAGUGAUACGGGCUUGCGCCUUUUACAUUUAAAGCUUUUCCCCCCUGGGUGUGGAGGGGGAGGGGGCCUGCGCUCCUUAGAGCUGCCUACAUACCCAAUUAAGGGAUCAAGCCCGAAUGUAGUUUUGACCUGCAUGCAAAGGUCAGUAAAUGUGUAGUAGAUUGAGUUGGUCUCGGAAGACCUUAUGAAAUAGAGUAGAAGCGUAGAGAUCAAGCGUGAUACUGUUUGAGAUGGAUGGCGUUCCAGCUGUUGUUGAUGUCACGUCCGUCUGUCGAUCGCAACUUGUAUGCUCCAUGUCCAACCACUUUGGUGAUCAGAUAUGGUCUUUCCCAAUUCGGGGCUAAUUUACCCGCACCUAUUUCCUUGGUGUUCUGGAACACCUUUCGUAACACCCAGUCACCCGGCUUGAACGUGCGGGUACGGAUAUGCUUAUUGUAGUGCCUGGCGAUGCUUUGUUGAUACGAUGCUAAUCGGAUAUUGGCUUUGUUCCGUUUCUCGUCGAGGAGAUCUAACUCGUGGCACAUAGCCUCUUGAUUCUCGUUGUCUGUCGUGAGCUCAUGUCUGGCGGUGGGUACUUCGCUUUCCAUUGGGAUUACUGCCUCCAUCCCAUAGGCGAGGGAGAAUGGUGUUUCCCCUGUUGAUGUUCUUGUAGUUGUUCGGUAGGACCAUAGCACGCCUGGUAACUCAUCUGCCCAUUUGCCUUUGGCCUUUUCUAGCCGUUUCUUCAGGGUGUUCAUGAUGGUUUUGUUGGAAGACUCCGCUUGUCCGUUUGCCUGAGGAUACCUUGGUGUUGAGAAGCUCAGCUUUAUAUUCCAGAACUUACAAAAAUCUUGAAAGUCUGCGCUUAUAAAUUGGGACCCGUUGUCCGUGACGAUCUCCUUGGGCACCCCAUACCGGCAGAUCACGUUCUUCCAUAUGAACCCCUUGACUUCUUUGUCACGAACUUGGUGGAAAGACUCUGCUUCUAUCCAUUUGCUGAAAUAAUCGGUCACUGCCAACAUGUAUACCUUCUGCCCGGGUGCGGUGGGCAGUUUGCCUACAAUAUCCAUCCCCCAUUUCAUGAAUGGCCAUGGUGAAGUGAUAGCGGUCAGGGGCUCCGGGGGCAGGUGUGAUAUUUGGGCGAAUCGUUGACAUUUGUCGCACUUUCUAGCAUAAUCAGUGCGUCGUUUUCAUGGUGGGCCAUAGUAACCGCUGGUUAAGCGCGGUGUGCGAGGCUUCUUCCUCCUGAGUGAUUGCCACAUUCACCUUCUGUACUCGGACAAGAGUAUCUUGCUUCUCAGGGUUAAUCAUUUCAAGUAUGGACCGGUAAAUGAACGUUUAUACAGUUUACCUCGAUGAUGCAGAACCGGCGCUGAGCUUUACGCGUGCUCUUCCGAUCAUCGGAGUAUUCUCUUCGAGAUAUUCCAUUAUGGGGUAUCCAUGUUUCGACUGAUACUGAAGUCACGUGUUCCUCGGCCUCAUCUCUUUGUAUUGCUGGAUAUUGAAGGCAAGUGAUCGUUAUUGUUUUAGGUUGUGCGGUCUGAAUUGCUGAUCCCAGGUUGGCCAAAGCUCAGCGUGACCAUUCUCCCCCCUCGGCACUUGGUUGAUGGUGAAUUCUUCAAAGCAAGAUUGGAGCUUUUCGUCUUGCCCAGUAAGCCGUCAUUUUCGUAUCUUUGGCUUGAAAUGUACCCUGCAUCUGAUUAACUACAAGUUGAGAGUCACUAAAUACGUUAAUGCGUUUUACCCCAAUUUCCUUAGCUAGUCCGAGUCCGGCUAUCAUGGCUUCAUACUCAGCCUCAUUGUUGGUUGUUUUGAAAUCACAUCGGAUUGACCGCUCAAUGUUGUCUCCUCGUGGUGAUGAAGGACGAUCCAAGUCCUCCCUCGUACGUUGCUGGAUCCUACUAAUUCCAAGUUCCAGUUUGGUCGGGUUCUUCCGUCAGACAGCAUAACUCUUUGUCGGCCUGUAUAGUAAGGUUAGGUGCAAAGUCAACAACAAAAUCGGCUAAUACCUGAGAUUUAAGUGCGGUCCGUGGUUUUAUGUGAUGUCGUAUUCACUCAACUCCACUGCCCACUUUGUCAAUCGACCGGAUAGUUCCGGCUUAUGGAGUAUGGCCUUAAGGGAUACGUGGUGGCACUAUGGACGAUGACACUGGAAGUACGGACGUAACUUUCUUGCUGCGUGGACCAAUGCGAGGGCCAACUUCUCUAGCUGGCUGUAUCGGGUCUCUGCAUCAAGUAGUGAUUUGCUCACAUAGUAGAUUGGUGAUUGUUUCCCAUCUUCCUCUCUGACCAGCACGGCACUGACGGCUGUAUCAGAGACGGCUAGAUAGACCAAUAAGGUCUCGUGGUCUUUCGGUUUUGCGAGUAAAGGUGGGCUAGUCAAGUAUUGCUUGAGCUGCUUUAGCGCUUCCUCACAUUCUUCUGUCCACUCAAACGUUCUUGACUUCCUCAAGGUGUUGAAGAAGAGGUGGCAUUUUUCGGAUGAUCUUGAGAUAAAGCGGCUUAGUGCGGCUAUCCUUCCUGUCAAUUUCUGAACGUCCUUCACGCAAGUGGGGGAAGGGAUUCCCUGGAUUGACUCAAUCUGAGCCGGGUUUGCCUCUAUUCCCCGCUGAGUAACCAUGUAACCUAAGAACUUCCCUGCAUUGACACCAAAAGAACAUUUAGUAGGAUUUAGCUUCAUAUUGUAUUUUCUAAGAAUUUCAAACGUCUCCCUCAAGUGAUCAAUGUGGUCCUUCGCGUGGAUGGACUUGACCAACAUGUCGUCGAUGUAGACUUCCAUUGUUUGCCCCAACAAACUUGCAAACAUCCGAUUGACCAGGCGCUGAUAAGUUGCUCCCGCGUUCUUCAACCCGAAUGGCAUAUACUUGUAGCAAUAUAAAGCUACGUUGGUCAUGAAGGCCGUCUUCUCCUCGUCGUCAGGGUGCAUCCGUAUCUGAUGGUAUCCCGAAUAUGCGUCCAUGAAACUCAUCAAUUCAUGGCCUGCUGUCGCAUCCACUAGCAUGUCGAUGUGUGGCAGUGGGAACGAGUCUUUCGGGCAUGCCUUGUUGAGGUCAGUGAAAUCAAUGCAUACCCGCCACUUGUUAUUCUUUUUCUUGACUACCACCACGUUUGCGAGCCAUUCAGGAUAGUGGACCUCCCGGAUAAGUCCAUUCUUGAGGAGCUUCGUGACUUCAUCAUUCACUACUUGAUUCCUUUCUGGCGCAAACUUUCUCCGUUUUUGCUUCCUUGGCGGGUAAUCCGGGGCGACCUGCAACCUGUGAACAAUAAUCUUAGGGUCAAUCCCCGUCAUGUCCUCAUGGGACCAAGCGAAACAAUCGUAAUAAUCAGAUAGGAAGUUGAUAAGCUUCUCUCUGAGCUCUGGUUCGAGUUGUGCUCCAAUCCGGACUUUGUGGUCUGGAAAGCUCGCAUUAAUUUGAACUUCAUCUAUCUCCACCAUCUUCCUCGAUCAGGCUGCGUGGUCUCUUCGUUCGUGCAGCUCGAUUAUGUGCUCCGUCUGUUGAUUCAUGUCUUGAGUGCACUGAGAGUAUAUUCGGGUGUUCUGUUCUCCCAUGUGCUUCGUUUGAGAAUGUGGUUGAGUGAUUCGGCGUCCCUCCUGAUGUAAUUAUUGAUUCGACGUACACUCUUUAUUCGCCUUUGAAUGGGACGGAGCUUCUUGCUGUAAUUGCUAUAAGGACGGGCUUUUCGCUUUUAUAGUGUUUGGUAGCACGCCCUGGAGUCCUUCUGCUCUCCCUUGAUCUCCUUAACUCCCCACUUGGUUGGGAAUCGUAUGACUUGAUGAUAGGUGGAUGUACUGCUUCCAUUCCGUGGAUCCAUGGACGGCCUAGGAUGACGUUGUAUGCUGACGGGGCGUCUACCACGAGAAACCUAGUGGAAAGGUUGACUCCUUCUGCGUAGACGGGAAGAUCGAUCUCCCUAAGUAGUCGUACUCUCGCCACUGAAGCCACGAGUACGGCAGCUUUCUUGAUUAGUUUGGACUCGUCCAAACCCAUCUCCCUGUAUGCACUGUAAAACAGAAUAUUGGCAGAGCUACCAUUGUCUAUUAGCACACGCUUUGUUAACAGUUAGCAAUAUAAAUGGAAAUAACUAAAGCAUCAUGAUGAGGGUUAGAAGCUUGUCUGAUUCGGAUGUUGCAAAGCUGAUUUUAAGUUGGAUCCGUUGGUCCAGCUUUGCCAAAGGCGGAACUCCUGAUUUGCUUGAUCUAGCUGUCUGGUGUGUCUCUUGGCGCUGAGUGGGUGAUUCCGCUAACUUCGGAACCUCCGGUAUCAGUUACAGUUCUCUCUGAUGUGGCGGGCUGGGGGUCUCCUUGUUUCUGUCUUCCCUGCUGUGAGGUCUGUGCCUUUGUGUCAAUUGGUGAGGUCCCUUUUUUCAAUAAGUUCGCCCUCCAUCUGAGUGCGAUGCAUUCGUCGUGCGGUGACCUGGUCACUAUGAAAAUCACACCAUUUUGUCUGUCUCUUUGGUCGGGUGGAGCCCUCAUUUUCUCCGGCCAGCUGACCUUAUCGCCAAGGUUCAUCAAAGCUGUUACAGCCUCUACGGGUGAAAUGGACAGAGGUACUCUGGGAGUUUCGCUCUUUCGCGCGGGCGCGUAUUGGUGCUUAUCGUAAUCUCCCUCCCCUUGUUCCUCUCGAGAUGCGGUAGGGUUCACUUCGUCUGUCACGAUUGUCUCGACCGAUCUCCUGUCGACCCUGUAGUCUCUUUCGGGUCUCUCUGGCGGAAGACUCUUUGCAUUUGUACUGGUCUCUUCCCAUUUGAUUUGAGCCCAAGCCUGGAUCACACGUCUUCCAUGGUUUUGCAUGGAUACUUGGUGAGAGUCUUGUAUAAGUCUGAUCCUGGCAGAAGGCCUUACGGAAGGCCUGACAGGGUUGUUCGCUGAGUUGGUGAUUGAACUUUCUCUUUGUUGAAGCGUCCGAUGUAGUCCCGAAGAGGUUCGCCAUGCCUUUGGACAACUGAUACAAGUCUUCUGAGAUUUUUUCCAAUUUCCUGCUGCUUGCAUACUGUUGAACAAAAACAUCCGUUAGUUGAGCAAAGAAUCUAAAUUAAUUAUUAGGAAGGUUCGUAUACCACUGGAGGGCGGUCCUAUUAAGCUAGAACCGAACCCCUUACACAUGCACGCCUCCCUCAUGUCACGAGGAAUAGCAAGGUGAACAUUCUUUGACGGUAUGAGCUAUGUGGUCGUCUGGGUCGGAUGCGCCGUCGAACAUCUUCAUGUGUGAAAAGCUGAAUUUCCUGGGCAUCUCCACCAAAGCUAUCUCAUCCACGAAGGGGGGAGUCGGCGUAACAACUCUCUGCGCUUUUCUUUAUCGGAGCUGGAACUCCCGGGAUUCGUUGAAUGAUGGCCUCCAUAUCUGCCAACCUUCUAGCCAAGGCGGGAUCCAAGUUCUGGGUGCGUUGAACAUGCCAUGUNUGGGCUGUCGUCUCUGUGUUUCUCUUGUCUAUCCCUUGCCUGCUGCAGGGUCUGCUUGCCUUUGUCAGUCAAGUAAUUGGUGAGGUGCCCUUUUUUCAACAAGUUUGCCACUUCCAGUCUGAGCGCGAUGCAUUCGUCCGUGCGAUGACCGUGGUCACUAUGGAAAUCACACCAUUUUGAUCUAUCUCUUUGAUCGGGUGAGGCUCUCAUUUUCUCCGGCCAACUGACUUUAUCGCCAAGGUUCAUCAGAGCUGUUACCGCCUCUACGGGUGAAAUGGACAGGAGGUACUCUGGGAGUUUCGCUCUUUCGCGCGGGCGCGUGCUUGGUGCUUGAUCAUAAUCUCUCCUCCUCUUGUUCCCUCUCUGAGAUGGCGUGUAGGGUUCACUUCGUCUGUCACGAUUAUCUCGACCGGAUCUCCUGUCGACCUUGUAGUCUCUUUCGGGUAUCUCUGGCGGGAAGACUCUUUGCAUGUUAUACUGGUCCUCUUCCCAUUUGAUUUGAGCCCAAGCCAGGAUCAACACGUCUUCCAUGGUUUUGCAUGGAUACUUGGUAAGAGUCUUGUACAAGUCUGAUCCUGGCAGAAGGCCCUUACGGAAUGCCGUGACAGCGGUCUGUUCGCUGCAGUUGGUGAUUGAUACUUUCUCUUUGUUGAAGCGUCCGAUGUAGUCCCGAAGAGGUUCGCCAUGCCUUUGGACAACUGCAUACAAAUCUUCUGAGAUUUUUUCCAAUUUCCUGCUGCUUGCAUACUGUUGAACAAAAACAUCCGUUAGUUGAGCAAAAGAUCUAAUUGAAUUAUUAGGAAGGUUCGUAUACCACUGGAGGGCCGGUCCUAUUAUGCUAAAACCGAACCCCUUACACAUGCACGCCUCCCUCAUGUCACGAGGAAUAGCAACGGUGAACAUUCUUUGACGGUACUGAGCUAUAUGGUCGUCCGGGUCGGAUGCACCGUCAAACAUCUUCAUGUGUGGAAAGCUGAAUUUCCUGGGCAUCUCCACCAAAGCUAUCUCAUCCACGAAGGGGGAGUCGGCGUAACAACUCUCUGCACUUUUCUUUAUUGGAGUCGGAACUCCAGGGAUUCGUUGAAUGAUGGCCUCCAUGUCUGCCAACCUUCUAGCCAAGGCGGGAUCCAAGUUCUGGUGGGUGCUGAGCAUGCCAUGUCGGCCCUGAUCACCAAGAGGUGGUUGAUCUGGCGUGUUGCCAUUCUGACCGAUUGGAACCGCUUGCCUCGGUCCCUCUAGUUGACUUGUUGGGGCGUCACACAUGAGAGCAUCUUCGUGUGGUUGUGUCAGCACUAUGUGAUCACGGGCGAUAUCGGUCCGACCGGUCGGGGUGGACUGGUCCAUUCCCCCAGUCGCUAAGUUGGCCUGUGUGAGGGCACCUGUGACGUUUGUCCCGGUUGCUCCGGGCGUCCGAUCUAGGGUGCGCGUUUCGCCUGCAUUCACAAGAAGAGUAUCCAGGUUAGGAUGGAUAGUCUCCGAUCUAUUGUUCAUUACCGAUGAUGAAGGGUCAUCUGGGUUGAUCUCAGUUCCAUGGGGUGUGAGCGGGACAUCCUCUAUGUCCACCAUGGAGUUGACGGGAACUCGAAAUCGGUUAUUGCGGAGUGUUUGGAUUUGAGGAGGCGUCUGGAUCUGGGCGAAAGCAUUCAACCGAGCGAGUAGUUCCGCAUUCUAUUUUUCCAGUAAGAGCCUACUCUCUCGUUCUUGUGUGAUUUGGUCGGCCAAAGCGGAGAUCCGGGCAUUCACCUCUACUUGAGCAAGCAACUCUGAUUGGGUUGAACCCAAUUGGUUUGAGGCAUUGUUCGAGUCGUUAGCGUCGUUCGGAGCACUCAUGGUGUAGCUUGAGAUUGCUAGGGCCCCACGGUGGGCGCCAAAUUGUAGGGGGUGAAUCCGACAAUUACGGAAGCGACGUCAGUCACGUCUGGAUCGACGGGCACUAGCAACCUGAGACCACAAAUAACGUUAGAGCCCUCCGAAGAGCACCGGUGGGGGUGUCGAUGGAAGGGCCUCCGACGCUCAAGUCAGUGAAUUGAUAUAAAAUAAUAACGUAAGUAACGUAACGAAAAUAAGUAGAUGAAAAAGGAAAAGGCAAUAGUAAAUGGAGUAUCCGGAAGAUAGGGGUGUCCCAGAAGUUAGAUCAAAGCUGGUGAGCGACGAUGAACAAGGGGCGACGAACGUCCGGGCUAGCGGGGCUAGUCAAGCAAUCGGAACCCUUGAAGUUGUGAGCGUGGAGGCGGAACGGAAGAGCGGAGAGAGCAGGAGAACACCAGAUUGAGAGAUCGUAAGUAUUAGAAUGAAUGUCAAUGACGGCGGCCCUCGAUUGUGUUAGUGAGGUAGUAUAUAUAGGUUAUGGGCCUGCGGAGGGAUGAUUAGGGUUAGGGUUUGUUGGAAUGUUCCUUGAAACCCUAACGGUUCCGACUUCUUCGGAGUCCACUUGCCGUAACCUUCGUUUGACCUAGUCAGCCACGUUGACUAGGUUUUCGUAAGCUUAUAAUCCAGUUUGUAUACUUUCGUGUUGAAAUGUUUACUAUGGCGCUGCUGCUAGAGCAGAGGGAUCGCGCCUCUGCCGGAGCAGAGAGAUCAUGCCGCUGCCAAAGCAGAGGGAUCGCGCCUCUGCCAGAGCAGAGGGAUCAUGUCGCUGCCAGAGCAGAGGGAUCGCGCCUCUGCCAGAGCAGAGGGAUCAUGUCGCUGCCAGAGCAGAGGGAUCGCGCCUCUGCCAGAGCAGAGGGAUCAUGUCGCUGCCCGAGCAGAGGGAUCGCGCCUCUGCCAGAGCGGAGGGAUCGCGCUGGGCAGAGUCAGGGUUGCCCAUUCAAGGAUUUCGCUGAUUCCUCUGGCGAGGGUUUCGCUGAUUCCUCUGGCGAGGACUUCGCUGAUUCCUCUGGUGAGGAUUUCGCUGAUUCCUCUGGCGAGGACUUCGCUGAUUCCUCUGGCGAGGAUUUCGCUGAUUCCUCUGGCGAGGGUUUCGCUGCUCCUCUGGUCAGUCGGAUUUUAUCCAUUACAUUAGGCUGGUCCGUUAUUGGAGUGUAGUUUUGGUUCAUACGAAUUUUACCCAUUACAGUUCUCUGGCGAGAGUCAUUUUUCUGCGUGUUGCUCCUAUUAAAAUAAAAUUAAAUUUUGAAUUAACGACUUCAUAGUCAUUUCACCCCAUUUUUUUUGUUUUUUCCCCAACGCCUUCAUAGCCGUUUUUCAUCCUUUUUUUUUCCUUUCUAUAAAUACCUCAUUCAUUUUUUCAUUCACACACACAAAUAAUUUUCUCUUUCAAUCUUUCUCUAUUUCUCCUUCAUUCAACACACACAAAAAAAUGGAAUGUUCGAUGUAGGGGUGGGAAGAUAGGGUUCGGUUAUAGGGUACCCGAUUACCCGACCCGAAAAAAUCGGGUAUCGGGUACCCUAUACCUGAAAAAUUAGGGGUCGGGGUCGGGUUCGGGUACUUAGGGUGUUAAAAAUUCGGGUAUCGGGUAUACCCGAUCGGGUAUCGGGUAUACCCGAAAUACCCGAUUUUUUAAUUAAUAAAUUUUAAAUUAUUUAAUUAAAUUUAAUUUAAAAAUCUGUAAAAUUUUGAAUUGAAAUUCAAUUUUAAUUUAAAAUUUUAGACUUGGGAGUUGAGAUUUGUGCUUGUUGAUUUUUUGAUUUGAUAUUAUAUAUUAUUUGUUAAUACAUGGAAUUAAAAACGUACACAAUUAUAUAGGGAAAGGCUGAAAAUAGAGGUUACAUUUUUAAUUUUUUUUAAAAAAAAAUAGGGUAUUUCGGGUAUUAGGGUACCCGAUUAAGCCAAAUCGGGUAAUUCGGGUACCCUAAUACCCGAAAUACCCGAUUUUCACAGUUUGACUUGAAAGAUGCAAUUUUGAUCCGGUAAUUUAGGGUACCCGAAUACCCGACUCGGGUAUUAGGGUGCCCGAUUUUUUUCGGGGUCGGGUCGGGUAUAGGGUUUCUGUGUAAUUCGGGGUCGGGUACCCGAUUUUUUUGGGUAGGGUACCCGAUCCCGACCCGAUUCCCAACACUAGUUCGAUGAUACUUUGUCGUCUUCAUCCGACAGUGUAGCAGAGGCGAUUAUGGAUGAGAUCCAUGAGCAGAAAUAAUUGUAUGCUAAAAUGUACUCCCAACCGGCGCCGGAACGUGUUGUUCAUCACCGACAAUAUGUCUAUCGUGAUCGUGAGGCUACCCAUUUAUGUCUUAUGCAAGACUACUUCAACGAUAAUCCGACGUACGGGCCUAUAUUUUUCCGACGUCAUUUUCGAAUGAAGAAGGAGUUGUUCUUGCGCAUCGUCGAGGCUGUUCAAGGUAAAGAUACUUACUUCCAGAUGAGCCAUGAUGCACGAGGUCGAGACUCUCUUACGCCUUUGCAGAAAUACAGGGCGACUAUCCGCCAAUUAGCCACCGAUGUCAGUGCGGAUACUUUCGACGAGUAUCUCAAGGUCGCCAACACGACGGGGCGUUUAUGCCUCAAGAAAUUCUGCAAGGCUGUCAUCCGGACUUACGGAGCCGAGUAUCUUCGAUGUCUUAAUACGGCGAACAUCCAACGCCUUCUUUAGAUGCAUGAGGUGCGACACGAAUUUCUCGGAAUGCUCGAGAGUCUUGAUUGUGUGCAUUGGGUUUGGAAGAAUUGCCCAAAGGCGUGGCACGGUGAUCAAGGGGAGCUCACCUUGAUCUUGGAGGUUGUUGUAUCCCACGAUUUGUGGAUUUGGCAUGCCUUCUUCGGUGUUGCCAAUUCGAACAACGAUAUCAACGUGCUGAACCAGUCGUCUCUGUUCUCCGAUGUGUUGGAUGGAACAGCGGCGCCAGUGAUCUUUGAGGCCAAAGGAGACGUGGUUCAAGAAGAUGCAAGAAUCACCAUGGAAGGAUAUCGAACGUGCCUUUAAAGUGCUUCAAGUUCGAUGGGGAAUCAUUUGAAGUCCGGCGCAGGGUUGGUACGUCGAGCAUCUCAAGGACAUCAUGAUGUGUUGUAUCAUUAUCCACAACAUGAUUGUGGAGAACGAAGGUGAAAGAGCUGCCCAUUGAAGAGAUAACGACGCAGGAUACGGGGUGUCUAGCAGUGACUCGACGGAGAGUGCUCGAGCAACCCCAAUUUGCUUCGAGGAAUACGUGCAAAGAGAUGUAAUUCUUCGAGAUAAACAUAUACAUGCUCAACUCCAACAUGAUUUGAUCGAGCAUGUUUGAGUGCGUUUCGGACGUAUAGGGCCGAAAUAGUUAAUUUUAUGAUAUGUUAUUAAAUUUUUAAGAUUUAUGUAAUUUUUAGAAUUUUCAAAUUAAUGCAAUAUAAAUUUGAAGUAAAUUGUGUUAUUUAAAUUUUUGCAAUUAAAUUUAAAUGNNNNNNNNNNNNNNNNNNNNNNNNNNNNNNNNNNNNNNNNNNNNNNNNNNNNNNNNNNNNNNNNNNNNNNNNNNNNNNNNNNNNNNNNNNNNNNNNNNNNNNNNNNNNNNNNNNNNNNNNNNNNNNNNNNNNNNNNNNNNNNNNNNNNNNNNNNNNNNNNNNNNNNNNNNNNNNNNNNNNNNNNNNNNNNNNNNNNNNNNNNNNNNNNNNNNNNNNNNNNNNNNNNNNNNNNNNNNNNNNNNNNNNNNNNNNNNNNNNNNNNNNNNNNNNNNNNNNNNNNNNNNNNNNNNNNNNNNNNNNNNNNNNNNNNNNNNNNNNNNNNNNNNNNNNNNNNNNNNNNNNNNNNNNNNNNNNNNNNNNNNNNNNNNNNNNNNNNNNNNNNNNNNNNNNNNNNNNNNNNNNNNNNNNNNNNNNNNNNNNNNNNNNNNNNNNNNNNNNNNNNNNNNNNNNNNNNNNNNNNNNNNNNNNNNNNNNNNNNNNNNNNNNNNNNNNNNNNNNNNNNNNNNNNNNNNNNNNNNNNNNNNNNNNNNNNNNNNNNNNNNNNNNNNNNNNNNNNNNNNNNNNNNNNNNNNNNNNNNNNNNNNNNNNNNNNNNNNNNNNNNNNNNNNNNNNNNNNNNNNNNNNNNNNNNNNNNNNNNNNNNNNNNNNNNNNNNNNNNNNNNNNNNNNNNNNNNNNNNNNNNNNNNNNNNNNNNNNNNNNNNNNNNNNNNNNNNNNNNNNNNNNNNNNNNNNNNNNNNNNNNNNNNNNNNNNNNNNNNNNNNNNNNNNNNNNNNNNNNNNNNNNNNNNNNNNNNNNNNNNNNNNNNNNNNNNNNNNNNNNNNNNNNNNNNNNNNNNNNNNNNNNNNNNNNNNNNNNNNNNNNNNNNNNNNNNNNNNNNNNNNNNNNNNNNNNNNNNNNNNNNNNNNNNNNNNNNNNNNNNNNNNNNNNNNNNNNNNNNNNNNNNNNNNNNNNNNNNNNNNNNNNNNNNNNNNNNNNNNNNNNNNNNNNNNNNNNNNNNNNNNNNNNNNNNNNNNNNNNNNNNNNNNNNNNNNNNNNNNNNNNNNNNNNNNNNNNNNNNNNNNNNNNNNNNNNNNNNNNNNNNNNNNNNNNNAUGGAUCAACCUCAGGUAAAUCAUUAAACCUUCCGGGAUGGAGGGAGUAUGUAUGGACAAUUUGUACAACCUCAGUGACAUGCAAACAUAAACAUUAAGAUGUAAAAUUAAAUUAUUUGAUCCACCACAAAUUACAAACAGACAGACGUACGGUGAAAUAAACAGAUACUCAUUCAAGCCCAGCAGGCGGUGGAAGACCUUACAAUUGCAAACAUCACGGGGUAGUUAGUUUGGCAUGUAGCUCGAUAAUUCAAGGAGAUGACAAAAUAAUAUAUUCAAAUGUUUGGCUACAUCACAUAAACAUAGUGGCUACUAAUACAAUCAGAACUAUCUGAAUGAAAAAGUACUAAAACUUUGGUAAGGAGAAACAACAUUUUACCACGUGUCCAAGUAUUUCGUUGCAACUUGUUCAUGAACUUUUGUUCUGUUGAUGAUAGCAACAGGAAUGGAUCUUUAUCAAAGUUAAACAUUGCAACUUCAACUCACUUAUUCUAGCCAAAAUAUGCAUCCAACAUAGAUUACUAUGAUUAUUUUAAGAUUGAUUCUCAAAUAAGUGCAAAUGCUGCAAAAGACAAUUGAGAUAAGAGAUCAGAUAAACACAAAGUACAAAACUAUGAAAAGAUUUGCUAGGUAGGGGAGUCAGAAUUUGAAAGAUAACUUACUUGGCAAGAUAAAUAAAACUUGAUCAUGAAAUAGGAGGAUAAAUGGAGAGCACGAAUUCAGAGCCUUCAGCCAGUGUCUUUUUCUUUGCAUCUGAGAUGUCCUUGGCAGAUUUAGCUGCAGAUAUGCAAGUAUGCAUCUCCACCUUUUGGAGGCUUGGUAUGUCAGCUAGCUCAACUGGAAUUCCACGAAGCUUCUUACAGUACUUGAGCACAAGGCUUCUGAGCUUCGGGUAGUGACGGGAUGAAGCAUUCCAAACAAUUAAAUCCGUGUCUUCAAUGUGUAAAAGUUCAAGUUGCUGAAAACCUCCAUCAACCGCCUUCAAGAUGCUCCCACUAAAUGCAUUAUCUUUUAGCUUGAGCACCUCGAGUCCCUCUAGUUUUCCGAGGGUAGACAUAUGUUCCCAACUGAGGAAAGUAGCACAUAAUGUAAGGCUCGUGAGGCUGGGUGGGAAUCUACGAUAUUCAGGAAAGCUACCCACUCUUGCUUCCCUCUGUGGGUAAGGAUAUGCGUCGUUUAUUAGUUUCAGCUUUCCAAGUUCUCUCAUUUUCCCCAAACUAUCAAAAGAUCCAUGCCUUCCAUCAAAGAGCAAGCCUAGUUGCCCACGGAUGCCCAAUUUCUUCAAAUUGGGCACCCGAUCAGAGAGUUGUUCCAUGCAACUUUCCACCGAGAUAAAGCUGAGUGUUUGAAGCUCUGAACUUUUUUUGCCACUUUUAGUUGACUUGGGCAAGGUAGCAGAGGCAUUUGUCUUGAAAUGCCUCAACUGAUUCAUCUUCCAUAUAUCUGCUUCAACUUUAAGCGUACGACAUGUGGUGACGACUAUAAGAGUUUGUAUGUUCCAAAGCUGGUUGAACUUUGAUGGAAGAACUGACAAGUCGGACGACAAGGCAAUGUAUCUCAAAUGAAGCAAAUUGUACAGGUCACUGUUAAUCUUGGUGAACGUGAACGGAAAAACAUCUAAAACUCUGAGCAAUUUGAAGGCUCCAAUGAUGUUUCUACUGUUUUCCGGAGACAAAACAUACUUAUUCUUGGAAAAACAAACAAAUGAGCGUGCACGAUGAACACAAGAUUUUGAUGAGAUAAAUUUCAAACACCUGGAAUGCAUAGAGAGACGGUGAUACUUAUGUAAGUCAGAAGUUGAAGGUGCAAACUGUCCGUCCCUCACAUACUUGAUUUCUUGGUGGAAAUUUUCAUUUGUAGCUUCAAUGCUGCAGAAAUCACGUACCAUGUCAUGAACCCGGCAUAUUUUAACUGUACCAUCAGAGUUAAACUUGUCACUUUUGACUAAGUUUCUACUGAUAAGAUCCUCCAAAUAUUUCUCAGCAGUUUCCUCCAAACUAUAAUCAAGCUCUUGUUGUACGAAUCCUUCUCCUAUCCACAUGCGGAUUAGUUUUGACACUGGAAUUUCAUAGUCCUUUGGGAACAACCCAAAAUAGAGAAAGCAUGGGCGCAAGUGGUAAGGUAAUUUGUCAUAGCUCAGAGAUAUAGAUUUUUGCAUGCGAUCUGCCGGGUCAUUCCCAAUGGCAAAUGAGCUCACGUGAUCGGACACUUUUUCCCAAAAUCUUCUCGUUGCAGUGGUAACUGAGCCUGAAGACCUAGUGGCAAGCAUGCCUCCUAUGACUGCUAUUGCAAGUGGCAGACCAUCACAACUCUUUGCAAUUCUUCGUCCGACAAGUUCCAAUUGAGAAGGGCAGUCCAGCUUGCCGAGUGCCUCCAACCGAAGCAGCUCCCAGCUUUCUUCCAAGUUAAAGAGACGCAAAUUGUAGGGAGGUCUCGGCCGGCUCGCAUAGUAGCCUACUCCAUUCAUACGAGAGGUGAUCAAGACUUUACUUUUUGUAUUGUCUUCGGGCAGAGCCGCAUGAAGUCUAUCCCAAUCAGCAGUUUCCCACACAUCAUCCAUGACAAUCAGGAAUCUUUCUCUUUUGAGAAGAGAGGCAACCAAAUCAGCUAACUCAUGAACAUUUUUGGCAUGUAUAUCGUCAUUUAUUCUGGUUAAAUUCCUGAGAAUGUCUAGAAACAUUUCCCUGUCCGUGAACUGUUUAGAAUUGGAAAGCCAGAUGAGGGUGUGGAAGAAGUGUUUGAUUUCUGGAUCAUUAAAAAUCUUCCAUGCCAGCGUCGUCUUGCCCAGCCCAAACAUACCAGUUAUAGAAAUGACAUCAAAAUAGUCGGUUUCCUGAGUCAGACGGCGUAUGAGAUCUUCCGCCACAUCUGCGAAGCCCACCACAUUUUCCUCUCUUGGUAGCCGAGGCUGUUUGAGAAGGGCAUAAAAAUCCAAACAGAUAUUGGAAGAAAUUAGAAAAAUAACUGCUAAGAAUGUAUAUUGUAUUGAUGCAACAAGCAAGUAACAUUGAAAGAAUUUGAUAUAUAAAUAUUUAAUUUGUGUGUGCCAUGUACCACUAUCAGAAAACCUAGUUUGUGAUCCGUUGAAUUUCGAUGGGGGUGUUAUGCAUCUAAAAUAUUUUAUUAUUAAUAGAAUUUUACAAUUUUUAAAAAGUAAUAAAUGGGAAAAAUAAGAAGUUAAAGAAAAAAAUACUCCCGUCCAUAAUUUAAAGCCCUACUUGCUCUUAUUUUUUUGUACACAAAUUAAAACUGUAUUAUGUUUUUUGUACUCUUUUACUCUUCUUCUUUUCCUAUAUUUACUACUAUUUGUCACUAAUAGACUCGCCUUAAAACACAUUUAUCAUUUUUAUAUUUUAUAUUUACUAUACUUUAUCACUAGUGGACUCACUCAUAACACCUUUAUCACUUUAGUCAACUAUCUUUAUCACUUUAGUUAACUACCCUUAUAUUUCAUCCACAUCACCUUUUUUUAGUUUUCUUAGUCUCCGUGCCCACACCAAAGUGGGGCUUUAAAUUGUGGACGGAGGGAGUAUAUAAAAAAAUAUAUUCUCUCCGCCCACAAAAUGAAUACUCAUUUGAAGGUGCCACGAGUUUUAAAAAAUUAAACCUAUAAUUUAGUGGAAUNUCAGUAUAUAUAUAUAUAUAUAUAUAUAUAUAUAUAUUGCGAACGAAGGAAAUAUAAUUUAUAAAUAAACUUUCAAUUUUAUUAUAAUCACAAAUUUAUCUCUCAAUUUUUAAAAUUAAUUUUCAAAUUAUAAAUUACCAUUUUUAAUAUAUCACUAGCAUUUGCAUCCAGUGCAAUGCACGAGAAAACAUUUUUAACUUUUAUAUUUAUAUAAAAUUAAUACAAAUCAAUUAUUAUACUUAUAGAUAUAAUAAAAAUAAUAAUUUGAAUUGAAUAUUGACAAAUAAAAAGAAUUCACAAUUAUAAAAUUCCAUAUUGAAAAACAAAAAUAAUAAGUUAAAAAAAGCAAAAAUAAAAUACUAAUUAAAAAAAUUAAAAAUAGAUUUAUUCAAAAAAGAUGAGAGAGGAGAGAGAAAUUUAUAAAACUUUAACACUUAAAUAAAUUUAAAUUUUACAUUUUAAAUCAAAUAUUUUCAUGAAAUAUAUCAUAUUAAAGUUUUUAUCGUUAUCUUUAAUUUGAUAUGCAUAUUAAAUAUUUUAUAAUUAAUUGAAUUUCACAAUUCUCGAAAGAAAUGUAACAACAAAUAAGAAGUUAAAAGAAAAUGAAAAUAAAAAAAUAUAUAUAUAGUUUAAACAUAAAUCUUCAAUUUUAUUAUAACUACAAAAAUGCCACUCAAUUUUGAAAUUAAUUUGAAAUUGAAAACUUCUUUUUAAUAUAGUACUAGCAUUUGCACUCGUGCAACACACAAAAAAUAUUUUUAUAUUUUAUUAUAUAUAAAAUUGAUAUUAAUUUGAUUAUUAUAUAAAAAUUCUAAAUAUAAUUAAAAAUACUACUCCCUCCGUCCCACGAAUCUUGACACGUUUUUUUUUUUUUUGGCCGUCUCACGAAUCUUGACACGUUUCAAUUUUAGGUAAUAAUUAUUACGUUCUCUCUCUUAUUUUAUCACUUUUAUUACUCUUUCUCUUCUACUUUAUCACUUUUAUUACUUUCUCUAUCUUAUUUUAUCACUUUUAUAUUUUAUUAACUACACAGUUAAAACACUAAUCUACAAUUCCUUAAUUCCAGUGCCGAAUCCAAACGUGUCAAGAUUUGUGGGACGGAUAAAGUAUAAUUUAAUAUAAAUAUAUUUUAGUUUAAUAUAAAAAUAAUAAAAAAUAAUUCAUAUUAAUAAAAUUGAUAUUGUAAAAAAAGAAAACAAUAUAAGUUAAAAGAUAAUUGAAAAAAAUAGAUUUAUUCAAAAAAAAGAUGAGAGAGUAGAGAGAUUUUUUUUUUAAUUUUUAAUCUUUAGAUAAAUAUAAUUUUUAUAUUUUAAAUCCAAUAUUUACAUAAUAUAUCAAAUUAAAGCUCUUGUCAUAAUCUUUAAUUUGAUAUGCAUAUCAAAUAUUUUAUAAUUAGUCGAAUUUCAAAAUUUUUAAAAAGAAAUAAAAUAGAAACAGAAGAAGUUAAAGAAAGGAAAAAAAAAGUAUAUAACUUAUAAAUAAGCCUUCAAUUUUAUUCUAACUACAAAAUUGCCACUCAAUUUUGAAAUUGAUUUGAAGUCUGGAUCCAAUCCAGAUUCAUUGGAUCAAAAAAUAAAAUCCACAUUUAGAUCCAUAAGAUUCACAAGAUCUUGGAUCCAAAUAAAAAUCCAUAUUUUCUAUCUUUAAAAAUAAAUCAUAAAUGAAAAUAAGUUUAUUACACCAUAAUUUAUAAGAAAAUUACAAUAAUAAAAAUAAGUUAUACUAAUAUAAUGAAAAUACAUAAUUAUCUUAGUGUCAACCAACGCAACACAUUCACGUCACCAACAUAUAUAAUACUCCCUCCGUCCCACUAGACUUGGCACUUUUGAGUUGGGCACGGAGAUUAAGAAUAAGGGUUAAGAGUGUAAAGUAGGUAGGGUCCACUUAUUUUAUGUGAGUAGAGAAAGUAGGGACCACAUACUAUUUUAGGAAAGUGCCAAUUCUAGUGGGACAAACAAAAAAGGCAAGUGUGUCAAGUCUAGUGGGACGGAGGGAGUAUUAUGAAGGAGGUGAAAUCGUGAAAUUAGGAAAUAGAGAUUUCUCGAGGUUAAGAACUAGUGGAUAAACUCAAUACUGAGGAUCUAGACAUAAAAAUAAAAAUGAUAUACUCACUCGAUCCCACUUCAAGUGAUAGUAUGGUUAUUUAGUAAAAGACUAAUUAGAUUAUUAAAGGGUGUGGUCUAGAGUUGAAAAAUAGAUGUGGAUCCCAAAGAUUCUCUUUUUUUGAGACUAAUUUUUUUCAUAAAAUAAAACAAGACAUUUAAAAUGGGACAACCCAAUAAGAAAAAUAAGACGCUUAAAAUAAGAAGAAGAGAGUAUUGUAUUACUCCCUCUGUUUCACUUAAAUUGACACUUUUGAGUUAGACACGAAAAUUAAGAAUAAAAGGUUAAUAGUGUAAAGUAGGUAGAAUCCACUUAUUUUAUUUAUGUAUAGAAAGUAAGGACCGCAUACUAUUUUAAGAACGUGUUAAUUUAAGUGGGACAAAUAAAAAAGACAAGUAUACCAAUUUAAGGAUGACGGAGGAGUAUAAGAGCAUUGGCAACGCAGCUCCUCGAGCAUUACUCGAGUAAGGCAAUUUCUUCGUGUAUGGCGUUGCAAUGGCUGUUUCCUCGAGCAUUACUCGAGUGCUCGGGUAGCUUUAAUUUCCAAUGGUUUGUUUUUUUUUUAUUAUUAAAGUUUUAUGUAAUAUUUAGGAUUUUAUAAUUAAUGCAAUUUAAAUUUGAAAUAAAUUGUGUUAUUUAAAUUUGAACAAUUAAAUUUAAAUGAAAAACAUAAAAUCAAAACUAAUGUUAUCAAGUAGGCUAUCAAGUAACCCCAAUGCAGCACUACCUACUCAAUAACACAACCACUAUCAAGUAGGCUAUCAAGUAACCCCAUUGCGGAUGCUCUAUGGGAUGUUUACCUUAAAAGAUUAGAUUUGAUAGAUUAAAAUAAUAAGAUUAAUUCAUUAUGUACUUUAAUGGAUAAUUUUUUUUUUGACAAAUUAUCAUUUUUAUCAUUUAAAUUAAUUUUACUUAUUUCUUAUUUUAUUGAAAGAGUGAAUUCAAGAAAUUUUAUAUUUAAAAAUAAAAUUACUUAGUCAUGCAAAAUAAAUGAUCCUAAUCUCGGUAUGUACGAAUCUCAAAAAUUAUAAUCCAAAUCUAGAAUCCGGAAGUUAGAGCCCCGAGCCAAAUCCAUCAAAUCUUUUUUUGAAGCUCCAAAAAAAGAAGAAAAAAAAACCUGAAUUAGUGGAUUUGGAUUGGAUCUAAGAUCCAUUGUCAUGUCAUCUCUCUCUAAUUAAUCCUUUUUUGGGAGUGGAUAAUCCUAAUUAAAUUAGAAUUCGAUGAUUAAAGAUCUAUAAGGGGAGAUGUGAUGAAUAAAGAGGGGUAAAAAGGUGACCUCAAGUCUUCGAUGGCUGUCACUAUCAUCGACGGUGGAGAUGCGGAAAUCGGCCGUCCACGGCUUGACUUCAUUCAUAAUCUCCUCAACCUUUGUGCCAAUGGCGAGGAGAUCGGCAGCAUUCUUCCUGUGUCCCGAGGAGCUCUUGGGGUUUUUCUCGACGGCGGCGUUGGUAACAAAGGCGUCAAUGAUAUUUUCGGCCUCGAAAACAACGUCUUGAAUAUGCCUCACCAAAUGGUUUAUACGCUCAUUCUUUUUCCGAUUCUUCAAGGUGUCCCUCAGGAACGCUCUCAACAAGCGGAGAUCCGUCUCCAGAAUCUCGAUUUCGCCCUUCUUGUCUUGCAUUAAACGGGCGUUGUAUACCACCAGGUCCUUGAGGUUUUGAAGCAAAAAGUCAACUGCUGGCUCCGCCAUUUCUCUCUCUAUUUUGCGGGUAUUCCCUCACUUAGUAGUCUAUUUAGCUACGACACAAUACAGCAGCGAGUGGUUUUAUACAUGUUAAUUUUGGGAUGAGAUCCAAUGCGUCACUGUAUCAUGCUUAUAUUAUUAUUUAAAAAUAUUUUUAUAAAAAUAAAAUUAUUAUAAUACUGUGAAUUAUAUUUAAUUCUUAUUUAAUAAAAAUUACUUCAUCCGUCCAUCAAAGAUACGUCACUUUACUUUGACACGAAUUUUAAAAAAUGGUGUGUAUUAUUGUGAGUGAUUGUGGAUCCCCUUUUGAUCUGAAUGAGAAAUCGCACUUCUCCAAAAACAGUGUGAGAUGGAGAGGAAAACACUCUGUCAAUAAGGAGAACUAUGAUGAUCUGAAUGAGAAAUACGCACUUUUCCAAAAGUAGUGUGAGCUGGAGAGGAAAGCACGAAUUACUUCUCCAAAUUAUAAUAUAUUAGGAUCUAAUUUCGUGGAAAUCGAUCAUCGUUUCAUAUAUAAUUUCAAUAACGAAGAGCUAAUAUCAAAGUUUAGACAAUAUAAAAAAUAAAUCAAAGUUAAAACUAUAAAUUAAAUUUGUUGUUGAAUAUUCAAGCUAUAAACUAUAAUUAAUCCAUUUUAAAAUAAAAGAGUAAAAAUGGGAUAAAAUGAAAAUGAGAAUUAUAGUGCCUCUUGUAAAAUCAACGCACUAUAGACGUGAGGCGCUACGGUGGGGACCACCUUAUAGCGCCUCCCAUUGGAGAUGCUUUAAAUCGUAUGGCCUAUUGAAUUGGGUGAAUGGAGUAGUAAUUAAAAAUGUGUCAAUAGGCAAAAAUGCCCACUUUAUUAAGUGUAAAAUUAAAAGGGUAAAUAUCAUGAAAACCCCUGAACUAUACCCAUUUUAUCAAAAAUACCCCGAAACUUUUGAAAUGUUCUCUAAACCCUCAAACUAUCAGGUUUUUAUCAAAUAUAUCCUGCAUUUAUUUUCCGGUUACCAAAACGUGAUGUGGCUCGCCGGAUGCCACAAUGUAAUUUAUAUUAUAUUUUGUUUAAAUGACAUGAAAAAAACGACUUCGUUUCGUACCAUAUUCUACCGCGUNAAUAAUUACUUAUUAGUAUAAGACAAUAAUUACUUUUAAUAAGCAUAAAGACCACGGUUCCACGGUUCUACGGUUCCACGGUUCUAACCGUGGAACCUUCGGUUCACGGUUCCAAGGCGGUUCUGGCACGGUUUCAUCCCAGUUCCCGGUUCCACGGUUCGGUUCCGAUUCGGAACCGGAAACCGGCGGUUUGAGAAAUCCGAACCGUAACCGAACCGGGCGAGCACGGUUUCGAUUUCGGUUCGGAACCGUGUAUCACGGUUCCGGUUCCAGAACCGUCCCGGAUGGUCCGGUUUUCCGGUUCGGUUCCCGGUUCCGGUUUUUUUGGCCACCUCUAGUAGUACACAGGUCCUAGCUAAGACAUUUCCCAGUUUGCGGUAGCUAAUGGCAUAGUCAACGCCCGAGCAAAAUUGCAGGUUUUCCCUUUCCAUACUAUCUAUUUAGCUGUGCGAUUUUACCUUCUCAAUGCAAACCAUAAGAUCCUACUUCUGAUCUAUCACGCCAUGAGGUGAGCCUUAAUUAAUUUAGAAGAAAAUAGAAAUUCAUGAGUAGCUGGGUUUUUUUUUUUAGCAAUGUGCUUAUUUGACUUUAUGGGAAUUACUUAUAGAUUUGCCUCCUAAUGUUCCUAGUUUUCGAUUUAUAAGCAAGUUCCGAUGAAUUGAAAGUUGAGUAGCCGGAAUUGCGCUUGAUAAGUUACAUGAAGUUGAUUGGAUUUGAUUUUAUUGUCAAAAUUUAACCUUACAAAAGUGUUAUACUUCCUGCUGGAUAAUUGAAUCUAUUGAUUAUAUUUCACUUUUAUGUGCCAAACGUUUUAGCUACUUUGUUUCAGCUGAAGCUUUUGCAUAUUAUCUGUGAAUAUAUAUGGGGAAUUCAACUAUUUCCUAUAAUGUUAAGAUUGCCAACUUCAGUAAUGUUCGAGUUGAACGAACAUUUAUAUAUCCAAAGAAAGCAACUGAUUAACUGAUUAGUUUUUGAAAUGUAGAAAAAGAAGUUUGUAUCUUUGAGAUACUCUGAAGCUGCUAAGUCUAAAACUGUGCUUUCGAUGUCUCUAAUUGUAGUCUCCACAGUUCUGACAGGUCUCAAAACCAGGAGAUGAAAUCUGAUCAGGCUGGGGUCAAUGUAGACAAUAAAGAAUCAAAAGCUCAACUGAUUGAAAUCAUAAUAUCUUCUUUUGAUCAAAAGUUAGAUAAGUUGUCUGUAGAUCCUUCAUAUUCGUAUGCAGCAUGUAUCUAUAGAGUUUCUGAGAAGCUCCGGAAAGCAAAUGAAGGAGCAUAUACUCCUCGAUUGGUGUCAAUUGGUCCACUUCAUCACGAUAUAGCCCAACUUCAAGGCAUGGAGGCUUCCAAAUUGAAAUUCAUGCAUAAUUUCUUGAGCAGAUUUGGAAUUGGGAUGCAUACCUUAGUCAAAUUUGCAGCAAAGGAAGAAAGCUUUGUUCGCGGCUGCUAUGAGGGUAAAGUUGACCUUUCUUUAAGCAACUCACAGAGGUGAUUCUGUUGGACGGGAUAUUCAUCGUUGAACUUUUUCUGCAAAGCUAUUUCUCACAGCUGAGAGACAAAAACGAGACAGUAUUUGAAAAUCAGUGGAUCCACAAUAAUUUGUUGCAUGAUAUGUUGUUGCUAGAGAAUCAGCUACCUAUAAGAAUAAUGAAAAGCCUGAUGAAUUUUGUGGAUCUUUCAUUCUUGAACGAAGGCACCAUGCUCACCAUCUAUGAUCUUGCUCAUAGUUUCUUCAAGAAUGUUGGUAAUACACACAAGGUACCACUGACAGCGCGCUGUAAUAAUGCUAGGCAUUUUGUUGAGCUUCUUCUAAUUCUUCACGCUCCAACAGAGAAACGGUGCUUUCUACGGAAAAGAUGAGGAAAAACCGUCUCCAACUAGAAAGUUUGAGUAUUCUCGAAGUGCAACGGAGCUACAAGAAGCUGGAGUCACGUUUCGUGGUGGGAAAGGGGAUUGUUUGCUUGAGGUUUCCUUUCCACUAGUAGACGGAGAAGGAGGUUGCUUGUUUAAGCUUUUGUGUGAACAAGGAGGUGUGUUGACGAUCCCCAAAUUGAGAGUUGAUGAGUUGAGCGAGACAUUCUUCCGGAAUCUUGUAGCCUUUGAGCAGUUGGGCCAUUUUGGGUACUUUUCCAAAUAUAUUACAAGUUAUGUCAUACUCAUGGAUAGCUUCAUAGACACUUCGAGUGAUGUUGAGCUACUUGAGCAUCAUGGCAUCAUCGAGAAUAAAUUAGGCAAUAGCCAACAAGUAGCAGACCUGUUUAACCAUCUUCACAAGGAAGUUGUGACUGAAGCAAACGAUUUCUAUUUUGCUGAGCUUUGUGGAGAUUUGAAUGACUACAGCAAGGAUUGGCUUCACCAGUGGAAAGCCAGUUGGUUCAGAUCGAAAGUGGCAUUGAGAAGAAUUAUUUCAGCAGUCCUUGGUCCUCCUUAUCUGUUGCUGCCGCGACCGUGUUGCUCAUUCUUACAGUAAUUCAAACAGUCUGUUCAAUUCUGCAGGUAUUGUUUCACAUCUCAUCACAUUUUCCUACCAUUUAUUGUUUCAGAAUAUAAUGCUCAUCAAGUCUCUAAUGAUUGCUUACUUGUGUUAUAGUUGUGUCUUCUCAAGAUUCAUGCCCAACAUCCAUUCUGCUAAAAAUAUUUAUUUAAUUGUUUGUAAGGGAGUUUCUUUUUUUAAAUGGUUACUUUGGAUGAUAUGAUAGGGAUGACAACUGGAAAAAUAUUCAGCUCGAUUGGUUUGAAUUGAAUAGCUUGAGUGUCCGAUAAGAUUGGCAAGAAAUUGAUUAAUUUUGAACUUAUUUAAUCAUCUAAUCUUUAAAAUGUUACUAGUAUAUUUUAGUGCCAGUAUUAAUGUCUGAAAACUCUUAAACACUUGAGCCUUUUUAUUCUUCUCUUUUUCCCUUUCUAGCUUUAAAAAUUAUUCUUGAGCUCUGAUCUUGUUUUUCAUUUUAGGUUUGAUGAGCAGGAGUAUUAAUUAGGAGCCUUAAUAUUUGUAGAGAAGGAAAAGUUAUGUGAGAUGCUCUUGGUAACACCUUAUCGUCUUCAGCUGGUUGUCUUCACCUUGUAUAUAUUAUUCAAACUUUUAUUUGUAUUGAAUUUGCGAUGUUGCAAAUGACAUUUUAAUGAUUGUAUAUUAGAAAUCGAUAUCAAUUGUAUUUCUCAGUUUAUUUAAUUGGUGAUUUUUCUAUAUCUAAUGGGGUGAUUUGUUUGUACAACUAUAAAACUAGGAACUAUAAUAGUAUAAUUAACGAUUAAAGAAAAAAUAAAUGAAAAGUCACACCAUCAUCGUUUUUGCCAUUUACUUAAUAAUAUACGAUUAUAAGAAUCAAUUAGGAUUCUAUGAAUCAGAUUCAGAUUUCAGAAUAUCCAAUUGUAAAUUAGACACCGAUUUUAUUCUUCUUGUCAAAGUAUCUAAUCUAAAAGCCAAUGCCCUGAAAUGACCCUUUUGCCCUUGAUUCAUGGGUUUUGCUUUCGUUUUUCUACGGUUUUUAUUGUUUGAUCGAAUCUUAUUGAAGUCAUGGAAUAUUUUUGUAAUUAUUCUAAUUCAUACCCAUUCACACGCGUGCGAAUCUUUCUUUUUGCAUAAUUAAACUUUUUUAAGUAUAAGUUUUUUACACGUGAAUAUGGAUUCUAUUUUAGAAAAAUUGGAUGUAUCGACUAUAGGGUUAAUUUCCCCUUUACAUUUUUAUCCAGAAAUAGUUUAACGCAUCUUGACUACAUAAAAAAGUUUGCCAUUAGAUUUUUUUGAGCUCUAUAUUCCAUUAUAAAGGUAUCUCAAUUUUUUCAAUAUAUAUUACCAUUUAGUAAAGAAUUACUUGUCAAAUUUAACACAACAUUUCACUAAAUUUACAAUUAGAAUAUUACUUGUAAAAUGUUAAUAUUCUUGCAUUAAUAUUCUUUUAUACAUAUACUUUUUCAUGUUAAUGCUUUCGACAUAUGGUACUACUGCUUUUUUAUAUCGAAAUAAUAAAUUAUACAAAAAUUAAUAAUCCAUCAAAUUUUUAUUAAAUCAGAGGAAAAAAAAAUCGAUUCCCAACAACUUAAUUAAUAGCUGUAUGCUGGUGUAAUAUUUUCAACAAAAUCCAAUUGAAGGGGAGACCGAACUAGGAAGUCAAUGUCAACUGCUUUCGGUAUUUAAAGCAUAAAAUUAAUAAUGUAAACGAAAUCCAGAUUGGCAUAAAUACACAAUUAUCGUAUAAUAUAAAUUUAUUAUAAACAUUAUAGAUCCAUUAUAAAAUGACGAGUUCAAAAAAUUAAAAUUCCCAUCCCUUAUAUGAGAUUCGAACUAUAUGUCAUAAAUUCAUUCAAAAAUUAAAUUUACAAUAAUUUUUUAAUUGAAAAUAGUUCAUACUUUAUAUUCUCAUAAUCUCUUAAAUAUAUUGAUCUUUUGCUAUUUCGAUACGUAUCAUAAAUUACUUUUCAAUUUUAUAUGUUGGCCCACCACAAACCGCCGCCUGUUUUCUCACUAUAUUUUUUUUUUAUUUUUUAUACAACUAUUCAUUUAAUAUUUUUAAAGUCCCGUUCCAUCAAUAAUACAUAAAUAAAAUAUUAUUUCAUACAAUAUAAACUCAUUUGAACUAUUCCCAAUAAAAAGCAAAUGAAAAGUCUUGUUCCAUCUCCUAAAAAAAAAAAAGUCUUGUUCCAUACUUCCAUUAAUCAAAAUUUGCCGCAAUUCGAACUCUAAUCAAACACAAAUCAACAAAGAAAAGUCAAACUUGACGCCUCCUUCCCUUAUCUAUAAAUACCGUACUCCCAAAACUUAGUGCGCACACACACAUAUAGUAAUUAACAAUCCCUCUCCCUCUCUCUCUCUCUAUCUUAAAGAAAAAGCCAUGAGUUCCCUCAACUGCUCAGCCGAGCAGCUGGCGCCGCUCUUCGGCCCCAACGCCACGAACGCCGUCGCCGCCGCGCAAUACAUCUGCGGCCAGUUCGACACCGUCUCCGAAAACUUCGCGAACACCGGCUUCGCCAUCGACACUACGUACCUCCUCUUCUCCGCCUACCUCGUCUUCUCCAUGCAGCUCGGCUUCGCCAUGCUCUGCGCCGGCUCCGUCCGCGCCAAGAACACCAUGAACAUCAUGCUCACCAACGUCCUCGACGCCGCCGCCGGUGGCCUCUUCUACUACCUCUUCGGCUUCGCCUUUGCCUUCGGCGCCCCAUCCAACGGCUUCAUCGGCCGCCACUUCUUCGGCCUCAAAGACGUCCCCACCGACGCCUUUGACUACAGCAACUUCCUCUACCAGUGGGCCUUCGCCAUCGCCGCCGCCGGCAUCACCUCCGGCUCCAUCGCCGAACGCACCCAAUUCGUGGCUAUCUAAUCUACUCCUCCUUCCUGACCGGGUUCGUUUACCCGGUCGUCUCACACUGGUUCUGGUCCGGAGACGGUUGGGCCAGCCCGACCAACACGGGUAACUUAUUAUUCGGAACCGGAGUCAUCGACUUCGCCGGGUCGGGCGUGGUUCAUAUGGUAGGCGGUAUUGCCGGUCUAUGGGGAGCUUUAAUAGAAGGCCCGAGAAUUGGCCGGUUCGACCAUUCCGGCCGGGCCGUGACCCUCCGCGGCCACAGCGCUUCUCUAGUAGUUUUAGGAACCUUCCUUUUAUGGUUCGGGUGGUACGGGUUCAAUCCCGGUUCAUUCAACAAAAUCCUAAUCCCCUACGCUACUAGAAGCUACUACGGCCAGUGGUCCGCCGUGGGGAGAACGGCGGUUACCACCACUCUAGCCGGCUGCACGGCGGCUCUGACGACUCUAUUCGGAAAACGGAUCCUCUCCGGCCACUGGAACGUGACGGACGUCUGCAACGGGCUUUUAGGCGGAUUCGCGGCGAUCACGGCAGGCUGCUCGGUGGUGGAGCCGUGGGCGGCGGUGGUGUGCGGAUUCGUGGCGGCGCUGGUGCUGAUCGGUUGCAAUAUGCUGGCGGAGCGGCUCAAAUUCGACGAUCCGCUCGAGGCGGCUCAGCUGCACGGCGGCUGCGGCGCGUGGGGGGUGAUCUUCACGGCGCUGUUCGCGACGGAGAAGUACGUGAACGAGGUGUACUCGGGCAAGCCGGGGCGGCCGUACGGGCUGUUCAUGGGCGGCGGCGGGCGGCUGCUGGCGGCGCAUUUGAUCCAGAUCCUGGUUGUGGCCGGGUGGGUCAGCGCACCAUGGGCCCUUUGUUCUACAUUUUGCAUCGGCUUAAGCUGCUCCGGAUCUCCAAGGAGGAUGAGCUAGCGGGUAUGGAUCUGACCCGGCAUGGCGGGUUUGCUUACGUGUACGAAGAUGACUCGCAUAAGCAAGGGAUUCAAAUGAGGAGAGUAGAGCCAACUCAGCCAAGUCCUAACUCCAACCAAAUUUAGAAAAAAAAUUGUGUCAAGGGUUUAAUCUCUAUUUUAUUUUUAAUUUUUUUAGAUGAGGGAAAUUCGAGAGUGUGUAGUAUUGGACAAAAAUGCAAAUCCUCCUAUUUAGUGUAUUAAUUACUUCAAUGAUAUGCAUAUUUCUGUUAUAUGUGCUAUUUGUGUAAGCAUAAAAAAUAUUUGGUAGUGUGUAAAGAAUUUGAAAGAAAUGUGGAAUGGUAAAUAUUUGGAUUGAGUUUGAUAUUUGAGUGUUUGUAAAUAUAAUGUGAACAUAAUUUUGUUGAAGUUAAUUAAUUUUAUUAUGUUUUUGACUAUUCUAAACCAUAGUACAAGUCUUUAGUUAUAAUGGGAGCACUAUGAAUUAAAUGGUGGUGUCUUACUAGGGAGAUGUGACAUCAAAAUUUCGACUUUUUGUUCACUUUCCUUUUUCUUUUCUUUUUGUGAAAAGGAUAUCAUUUUAGUUUUGUAUGACUACAUUAAUUAUUAGGUAUGGGUUGAGGCGUUGAGCCUUAUUCUUUUAUUGACCACGUCUGUGCAGUCACAUGUCGACUGUCGUGUAUAAUUAAGAAGCAUAAUAUUUAUUGAUUUAAUCAUUAAAUUAUCGACGUAUCUCAAGCCAAUUUAUGUAUUGGUUUCCAACUAAGUAACCGUGCAGUUGAAUUAAUUAGAUUCUCGUUUGAUGUUGUAUUUUAUAUUUUAUCUAUAUUUAUUAGUUAUGUAUAUAUAUUAGUUGUCAAAUUAAUCAAAGUAUUGACGUGUGUAUUAUUAGUCAACUAAAUCAAGGAAUUUCAUCUGUAGCCAUUGGUAUUGUAAUGUAGUUUUUAAGCACUGUUAGAUUUACAAUUUGAAAUACUAAGUCAUUUCUUUUUUAAUUUGAAAAAAGUUCAAGCAAAUUUUAUUGUAUAUUACAAAGUGUAGUGAUUAACUAACAUUAAACAUAAGAUCUGAGAGCGUCCAAUACAACGAUGCUACUGUAUGGAUGUUGAUGCUCUUUUUUACCUGAACUGUCAUGCUUUUGGGACAUGAGUGAUUAUCAGAGAUUAUGAAGGACAAGUUAAGAUUGUUGUUGCGAAGAAGACAAUGCCAAAGUCAAGCAACGCAAUGGGAGAAAUUAUCACGGUCGUGUAUGGUAUCAUUACUAGUAUGGAACAUUACCUCAUACGUAUUGAGAUUUUUACAGACUCUAGGUACGCUGCAAGAGUGACAGCGCGAGAGGAAGAUGAAGAGAAGUUUCUCCCAAGUGACAUCCGUGAAAUUUUGUCUUCAACUAGAGAGAAAUUUCUGGUGAAUGUGCGUCAUAUGUAUAAAAUGACGAAUAGAGCCAUUCAUAGUCUUACUCAAUUUGCUCGUUUUUGUUCUGAGUCGAUUUCAUGGACCCAUGAUUUUCCUAGUUAGAUUAGGGACAUUAUUUUUUAUCAUCUUACUUGAAUAAAAGUUUGUCUUUUACCUAAAAAGAAAUAUACGCUGCAUGUUAGCUUAGCGCAUGUAUUUUAUUUAUUUAUUUUCUAUCAAUUAUAAAAAUCAUAAACUUUUAAUUAUAAUGAUAUUUGUGUGUUAUUAGUUUAUUUAAUGUUGUUGCUUUUCUCUAUGAAUAGGAAAGAUGUGGAGAAUCCCAUAGCGCGAGAAUAUCAUCUCUCUCAAGAACGUGUAGAAUCUUUUUUUAAUUAAAUUCAUUAAAUGGGGAAAAUAAUAAUGAUAGACUGGUAGUGCCCCCCACAUCAUGGCAAAUGACAUCUCACAAUUUGUGUUUCUGCCUAAAUAUUUAUUAUACAUGCUGCUUUAUUAAUGUAGCCAAACUGCCCAUAGAAUUUAAUUCAAGUGGGAAAAUUGAAGCAUUGAAUUUUUUUUAAAGAAGUUUUAGGUUCAAUCCCGUCUGCAUACGAAUAAAUUUUUAAUUUUUAUGUGAAUAAUAAUUUCACCCGCGUAUGGAUAAUUUUCCUACUUUUGUGUGGUGUAGAAGUUCUGUUUUCGUACGAAUUGCUUAUUUGAUUAUAUAAUAAAUACCUCUUAUAAUUCUAAAAAAAAAUAUAGCCGUACAGUCUUCCUCAAUUCUCAUUGAUGUUAUUUUAGUUGAUAACUCCAUCUUAACUCUUACUCCCUUAUUACGGCUUAACUCUUACUCUCUUAUUACGAUUUAUUUUUCUUUUUUAUCUGUCUCAUUAAUAAUAUAAUUCAGUCCAAAAAAAAAAAAAUCACUUCUCUCACAAAAAAUUAUGAGCUUGAUCUAUUUUCUACCACUUUUAUCAUUUAAUCGCUUUUUCUUUUUAAUAACCAUGCAUAAUAAGUAAUUCAUUAUUAAUAAGACAAAGAGAGUAGUAUUUUUCGAUCUGAACAUUGAUGCUUAUUGAAUUUGAGUUUAAUUAUCAAAUCUCAGCUAUAAUAUUUCACACACUUGGGUAGGAAUGUCAGUUUUACCCGAUACCUGCCCUGGUGGGGACGGGGACGAAGUAUUAGGGAUGAGGUCGGGUUUGGGUAUAUAUUGUUACAAAACUUGGGUCCAAUUACCUUGAUCAAUAGGCUUUAGUGUUAGGUUUCUUUUGUAAAAUUAUGAGGGGAUUCAUCAAAAUCAAAAUCAAAAUCAAAAACAAAAAAAAUCCACUCUCUCUUAUAAUCAGUUUUUUUUAAUUGAUUAGCUUGAUCUUUUCAUUUUUUACAAAUUUACCAUAGAGAUUCAAACCCGACUCAACAAUAUAUUUAACGAUAUGUCAUUUUUUUUUUAUCAAGAAAAUGCAUAAAUAAACGAUAUGUCAUUUACUAUAUAACAAAUGGAUAUAAUAUUUGAUAGUAUGUAUUAGAAUGAUAUUUAAUUAAUAUUUAUUAUAAUUAUGAAUUGUAUUACAUAUAUCACUUAUGAGAUAUAUAGUGUGUAUAAAUUCACAUAGAUUUUUAUAAUAUUUUUAAAAUUUUGAUUACAUAAAAAAUAUAAAUUUUAUAUGAAAUAAAAUAUUAGAGUGUUAUAGAUAUAUUAUAGAUCCAUGCCAGACCAAGUGACCAACGACAAAAUUGUUNUCUAAACCCUAAAGGGAUAAUCUAAAUCAUAAAUGGAAUAUAUAAACCCUAGGGGAGUGUUUAAAAAGUUUCUUUUGGCUUGGGGGUGGGUGGGGUCGGGGUCUGGGGGGUAGACAGGGCAGGGGGAGUAAAAAAAAUUUACGUUGGCACUUAUGGCACUAAUAGUGCCAUAAGUGCCUAACCCGACCCGCGUGCCUAAUCCUACCCGGCACGCGACCCGCGCUCCUGACCCUACCCAGUCCGCCCAAUUAGGGGUAUAUUAGGCAUAUUGCCUAAUUAAUGGCCAUAAUUUAUGUUUUUUCAAUUAGUGGCCAAAUAUUGUGUUUGCAUGUUCAAUGUGGUCAUUUGACACCAUUGUUUCUAUUAUAUAUCCAUGCCAGACCAAGUGACCAACGACAAAAUUGUUGAAUUAUACUAAUAUUAGAACAGUUUUUGUAAAUGUGCUGAAUUGGCCCCAGUGAAUCUGAUCUGACAGCUGCGUAUCCUAAACAAAUAUGAAAUCAACUAACACAAAAGAUAAAAACCAAAUUAAUUUUCUAGAUAAAUGGAAAGCAUAAAAACAACCUUGACUAACUCGACCAACAGUAAAUUUGAUUAAUUUCAAUGGGUAGGUCAAUGAAUCAAUUAUAAUUGGCGUUCACGCGAUUAAAGGAUAUAGUAUUACUCUUACUUUUUAUCUGGAUGUGAUUUUGAUUGGACAUAGAAUAUGAUGUUUAAUCAAAAAUGGUUUCACUUAACAAAAUAUGAAGUUUAUUUCAAGCCAAGAAGAAGAGGUCGUAAAAUUUUAAAAUAGGAUUUAGAUCGAAGAAUUUGACUUAAGAACACUCUAUAAAAUAAAAGCACCCCUAAUUAUCCGGAAAUAAUUUAAAAAUGAAAUAAUGAAUUUUAAGUUCACAUUGAAUAUUGAUGAACUCGUCCAAAUUCACUUUCAAAUCCUCUAAUCUAGAUAAAAUUAAAUUUGAAUGUAUUAGAUUAGUUGGUUAUUAUUGCUAGCAGCUAGAUGUAUAUAAAUUCGUUACCACAUUAAUUAAAAUACAUAAUUAAAAGGAGAUGAAAUUUUGGAGUCCAUAAUUAAAGUUUCAAUUUGUAUAUUCCUAUUUAAAUUUUUAUUAAUAUGAAGAUAUAUAAGAGAAAUCUUAUUUUAAAAAAUUAAUCAUUACUGUUACAAACUUUAUCAAAACUCGGAAUAUAUAAGAUAUGAGAUAAUUGGAAAUUCAGCCGUGGGCCAAAGGAUUCUAUCUUGAUCUAACCUACUUAAUUAAUAAGGAUAUAAUAAGAGAAUUAACAUUAAUUUCGCCCCUCAUAAUACACUUAGCUACAAUUAUUCAAAUUUAUGUCACUUUAUCCUGCAACUAUUAUGGCAGAACAAAUGGAGUAUUUAGUGUUGACCUUUUUUUUUCUUUAAAUUAUAAGCGAUAUCUGUUAUAUAAUCAAAUAAGUAACUCGCAUGCAGACGAAAUCUCUACAUCACACAGGAAUAGAAAAUUAACUACAUGAUGCAGACGGAACCACUAUCCACACAAAAAUUAAAAAACUAUCCACAUAAAGGUGAAAAAAUUAUCUGCACAUAGAUAAAAUUAUACCCAAAAUCUCUUAGUAUAAAAGAAAGUUUUUGAAUGUAUCAGCUUUGCGGCCUCAUUGGCAACACUUGACCUUUUUUAAUAUCGUGCCGUUUUUAAUUUUUUGGUAUAUUAAUAUACAUUAACUUUCUUUUUCCUAAUAAUUUACGUGGCAAGUUGAAUCUAGUAUAGGUAUACUACCCCUACAAUCUCAUAUUUAUACAUAUAUUUUCAUAUCAAAUUUUGAAUUCAGACGGCGUGACAUUAUUGAAAAGAUUUUGAAAUGUAUUGUAUGCUAAUUUAUCAACAAAAACAUUGGAAAAAAAAAGGGGGGUUAUUGCCGAAAAAUACAUGUAGUUUGUCAAUUUUCUGGUUUAUAACAUGACUUUAUAAUUUGACCAGAAAAUACAUCAAUUUUCAAUUUAAUCGCAAUUAUAACAUGACUUUAUAGUCUGACAAGAAAAUACACCAAGUUUCAAUUUAUUCUCAAUUAUAACAUGACCUUGUAAUUAAUUUAGUAUAAUAAUAUCAAAGUUUAAUACAUUAAAUAUUUUUAAUUUUCUUUUCAUCUCACAAUAUACUAUAUAUAUAUAUACAUAUAUAUUUGAUAAAUAUACAUCUAUAUGUAAAUAAUAUAUAAUAUUAUUUACUUUUUAACAUAGUUUCUAUUAUAUAUGUACCUAAAUUAUUUAUUGGUCCUAAUAUUUUAUAAUUUCAUAAUUUAAAUAAAUAAAUACUUAUUAUAUAUGUAAUAUAUUAAUAGAAUAUUAAAAUCAAAUUUAUAUAUAUAUAUAUAUAUAUGCAUGUGUGUGAAAUAUGUAUAAUAUAUAUAUAUAUAUAUAUAUAUAUUAUAAAUAAUUAAUCAUCUAACUUAAUUUUUAUAAAAAUUAAUCAAUCAAUUAACAAUAUUUUAUACAUAACAAUUUAAUAUAAAUACAAUAAAUAUUAAUACAUCUAUGACUAAAAAUAAUCUAAAUAAGGUAUGUUAUAAUUGAGAAUAAAUUGAAACUUUGGUGAUUUUCUUGUCAGAUUAUAAAGUCAUGUUAUAAUUGCGAUUAAAUUGAAAAUUGAUGUAUUUUCUGGUCAAAUUAUAAAGUCAUGUUAUAAACCAGAAAAUUGACAAACUAUAUGUAUUUUCCGAUAAUAACCCCUUAAGGAAAAAUAGCAAACUUAUUUUAUAUUACCCUUAUAUACUGCAGAUAAAUUCAAAUUAUUACAUAAAAAAACAAAAUCAAAUUGCCCGACCCAAAUAUGCUAAUUAAUUUCGAAAGACACUUUCACUAAUGGACUCAUAGUUUAGCAACUUACGCUGUUAUUUUUUCAAGAUAUAUCAUGAUUUGAAGGUUUAACUUUUGGGCCUUGAUUUUUGAAUAUUGUACAUUUAAAUUUAGAAUAAUUAGUUAGCAUUUUUUCCUCCCAAAAAGAAAAUCAUUUAUGAAAAAAAUAAUUAAUAAUUAAUUAUUUAGAUGAUUAACACAAUCUAGAGUAAUAAGAUCUUUGUAAGUACGAUUCGUGAAAACUGAAAAGCCACUAGUCAGAUUGUUUUGGGGUGUUCUGAGCUCUGACACAGGUGACUGAAAUUGGAUUUUACAACACAACUGUCUGCCAGAUUAUUUAAAAGUUACCCAAAGAUACACUAUAUAUUUUAAAGUAAAAUUAAGAUGGUAUUUAUUCGGCACGAUUGGAUUUUUAAGAUAUUAAAAUGGAUAAAACGCAAUUACAAUAUCUGUAGUUUCUGUUUUUCUUUUUUUCUUUUUCGUAUUAGUGAACUUAACUGGUGCAAAUAGUUUUCCCUUCCGAAAAUGUUUAAUCUUUUGCUCUAUCCGCCCCAUUUCAAAUGGCUUGUUUCUUUUCGACACAUUAAUUUAAGAAAAUGUUAAUUGAAUUAUUAAGCGGUGUAGACUGUAGUGUAACGUUGAAAAGGUUAUAUGGACCCAAAGAUAGAUAUUACUUCUUUUGUCCACAAAAAAAUAUCACAACAAAGGAUGCCACGAUUUUUUAAAAAAUUUGUACUGUUUAAAUAGUGACUGGAAAAAAGGGUCCACAAAUUAAGAAAAAUAAAAAAAUUAAUUAAGUUAGUGAGUGGAAAAAGUGACCCACGAAUUUUUUUUUUACUUGGGGGAGUUGGGGAGGGGAAGCAGUGGGGUUUGAACCCGGGACCUCACUGUUCACAUACAGGAGGUCGCACCGCUUGGUGUUUCCCUUGGGGACAGUAGCUCACGAAUUAGUGAGUGGAAAAAGAAAAUCACAAAUUAUUACUAAAAAUAAAUUAGAAUAUCUUUUAUGAAUGAACUAAAUGAUAAAUUAAGAUAUAUUUUAAUGGACAGAGGGAGUACCACUUUUAUACCUUAUUAUUUCUGUAUUUUUACCUAACGCCUCAACGUAUGAAUAUUUAUAAUGCGGUUUUCAUACCAUCAUUUCUUUUUCAAACACAUUCGUACCGAAAGAAAAAAAUUGAAAAUUAAUUAAAAAUUAAACAAACAUAAAAUUAAUAGUCAAUUUGUGAGAUAGUCAUAUUGAGUAAUGAAACAUAAUUUUUGGCCAUUUUUAUGUUUUAUAACUAUUUUGCCCUUAAUUAGGGUGGAUCGUAUUAGGAUUUGCGCGCGUGUUGCCGCGGGGAAACGCGGCGUGAGCGAGAGCGUGCGAGGGAGAGAAGGUGCGGCCGCUGGCUUUCUAGCGGCUGCGAGGCUACGUGGCAGUUGGUACAAAUAGGUAAAUUCGUGUCAAUUGUAUCAUUCGUUAUGGUCAUUAAUUUAUGUUAAGAGAAAGGGCACAAAGGAAGAGCGCGGCCGUGGAGCAACACGGCGCGAGCGAGAGAGGGCAAGGGAGAGAAAGGCGCGGCCACUGGCUUUGCCUGCGACUGCGGGUAGUGAGCGAAGGAGAGAAUGGGCGCGGACAAGGAUAUUUUGGACCGAAAUUGUAAAAAUUGGCCAUGAUUUGUGUUUUUCAAAUGUGUUAAUCAAAAAUUGAGUUUAAUUGCUUAAUAAUGCUAUAUGAAUGCAUAUUCUCUAAAAUUAAUAUACCGAUGUCAAAUUUAUUUAUUUGUAUUUAAGUUUGAAGUUAAAAAUUAUGGAUUCUAGAAUGCGGUUUUUAAUCUAAACAACACUCAAAAAAAAAAAAAAGGAAGAUGUGUCCAAUUUACAAGUUACAACUUACAACUAUAUUCAGAUUCUACGAAUUCUUUUGGCAACGAAUAAUGUUCCAAAACACCAUUAAUUGUUUUGCUCGUUGGAAGCUAAGUCCACCAAGGAAAAUUUUUUCCCGCAUUAGGAUGCAAUACUUCAUCCUACAACCUGUGUCACACUUUUAAUUUCACUAUAUUUUAUAAUUUUUUAUUACUAUAAAAAUAAAAGGCUAUAUAAUCAAUUUUAAUUAGUAUUUAUUAUUAUAAAUUAAAACUUAAAAAAAUCAUCUACCCUAAUAAUAAAUCAUUAAUAUAAAUAAAUGUAAAAGAAUAAUUAACUAUAAACUAUAAUUGAAUGAGUGAAUAUCUUGUAUUUUUACUAUAUAGUACUCCCUCCGUCCCAAACGAAAUGACCUAUUUCUUUUCGGCACAGAGAUUAAGAAAUGUGUAUAAAGUAGAUAAAGUGGGUUGGUGAAAAUUAUUNUUUCAGAAAAAUUAAAAAAUUAAUUAAGUUAGUGAGUGGAAAAAGUGGCCCACUAUUUUUUUUUUAUUUGGGGGAGUUGGGGAGGGAAAGCAGUGGGGUUUGAACCCGGGACCUCACUGUUCACAUACAGGAGGUCGCACCGCUUGGUGUUCCCCUUGGGGACAGUAGCUCACGAAUUAGUGAGUGGAAAAAGAAAGUCACAAAUUAUUACUAAAAAUAAAUUAGAAUAUCUUUUAUGAAUGAACUAAAUGAUAAAUUAAGACAUAUUUUAAUGGGCAGAGGGAGUACCACUUUUAUACCUUAUUAUUUCUGUAUUUUUACCUAACGCCUCAACGUAUGAAUAUUUAUAAUGCGGUUUUCAUACCAUCAUUUCUUUUUCAAACACUUUCGUACUGAAAGAAAAAAAAUUGAAAAUUAAUUAAAAAAUAAACAAACAUAAAAUUAAUAGUCAAUUUGUGAGAUAUUCAUAUUGAAUAAUGAAACAUAAUUUUUGGCUAUUUUUAUGUUUUAAAACUAUUUUGCCCUUAAUUAGGGUGGAUCGUAUUAGGAUUUGCGCGCGUGUUAGGUACAUUUGGCACUAUUAUGGCAAUUUGUGUCAAGAGGACGCGGUUGCGGAGAGAGGUGCAGCCGUUGACUUUUCAGCGGCCGCGGGGAAACACGGCGUGAGCGAGAGCGUGCGAGGGAGAGAAGGUGCGACCGCUGGCUUUCCAGCGGCUGCGAGGCUACGUGGCAGUUGGUACAAAUGGGUAAAUUCGUGCCAAUUGUAUCAUUCGUUAUGAUCAUUAAUUUAUGCUAAGAGAAAGGGCGCAAAGGAAGAGCGCGGCCGUGGAGCAACACGGCGCGCAAGAGAGGGCAAGGGAGAGAAAGGCGCGGCCACUGGCUUGCCUGCGACUGUGGGGCAGUGAGCGAAGUAGAGAAUGGGCGCGGACAAGGAUAUUUUGGACCGAAAUUGUAAAAAAUGGUCAUAAUUUGUGUUUUUCAAAUGUGUUAAUCAAAAAUUGAGUUUAAUUGCUUAAUAAGGCUAUAUGAAUGCAUAUUCUCUAAAAUUAAUAUACCGAUGUCAAAUUUAUUUAUUUGUAUUUAAGUUUAAAGUUAAAAAUUACGGAUUCUAGAAUGCGGUUUUUAAUCUAAACAACACUAAAAAAAACAAAAAUAGGAAGAUGUGUCCAAUUUACAAGUUACAACUAUAUUCAGAUUCUACGAAUUCUUUUGGCAACGAAUAAUGUUCCAAAACACCAUUAAUUGUUUUGCUCGUUGGAAGCUAAGUCCACCAAGGAAAAUUUUUGCCCGCAUUAGGAUGCAAUACUUCAUCCUACAACCUGUGUCACACUUUUAAUUUCACUAUAUUUUAUAAUUUUUUAUUACUAUAAAAAUAAAAGGUUAUAUAAUCAAUUUUAAAUAGUAUUUAUUAUUGUAAAUUAAAACUUAAAAAAAUCAUAUACCCUAAUAAUAAAUCAUUAAUAUAAAUAAAUGUAAAAGAAUAAUUAACUAUAAACUAUAAUUGAAUGAGUGAAUCUUAAUUAUCUUGUAUUUUUACUAUAUAGUAAUAAAUUAAAAUUAAAGAAAAAAUAACUAAAAAUUAAAAAUAGAACUCGAUAAAUACAAUAAGUUGUGGAACAGAGGAUCCAAUGUAAUGUUAGCCAGCUUCUCUUCACCUGAGGAUUUUUUGGGAUUAAUUAAAAAGUCAAUAUAUCAAAAUAGUCAUAUUUUUAUAUUGUGAAUAUAAAAUAUUAACUAUAAAAAAAUAUGAAAAAAGUUAUUUUUUGACUAAAACUAUUAGGAACUACUUUUUAUAUCUACUAUAUUAAAAUGAUUAUUUUAUUAAUCCAUUCAUAAUUAAUAACAAACUAAUACCGUAAUUAAGUUUGUGCCAUCAAUAGGGGUGAGCAUCGGUUCGGUUCGGUGCAAAACCGAACCAAAAACCCAAAACCGAAAACCGAACCGAUGCUCAAAUUGGGCACCGAACCGCACCAAUCAUAGUCCCAAAACCGAACCGAAACCGAACUGGAAAAACCGUCGGUUUCGGUUCGGUUCACCGAACCGACCACAAUUUGGGCUGCCACAAAUUGGAAAAACCUAUCUCUUCUCAAUUCACAAAAUUAUGGUUGCGCCUCCCUCCCUUUAAUCUCGUCUCUCUCUUUGUUCUCACCAUACACGCACACAACGCACGCAGGCGCCGGCGACACCGUUGUCGGCCCUCCGGCUUCGUCUCUUGCUCCACCAACUGACACCCCACAUCUCCCUCGACCACUCUGACUCACAAACACACAACUCACGAAGGUAGAGGCUGGUACUCCCUUCCGCCACACGCCCACAAAAUAGUCAACGGCGGCGCUGCACCCUUCCCCGAUGAGGGCAGCCGCCGCCUGACCCCCCUUUUCCUAAGCCCCUCUUCUUCCUCUGAUUUCUCCGCCACACGCACACAAAUAAAUUCAUGGAGAUGAGAAACACAGACGGUGCCUGGUGGACGGCGCCGCUGGAGGCCGGAAGAGCCGAAGAGGUGAAGGCGAUGGGCGGACGGCGCCGGUAGGGAGGAGGAGGACGUGCGAAAUGGAGGAGGAGGAGAAUUGAGAAUUCUGAUUUCUGAAAUCACUGAUGCGGCGCAGCAGAUGUUAGGAAUAGGAUUUAGGGUUUUUUCUUUACAAAGUUAAAUAUCUAUUGUAAAAUAUAAAUAUUUAAUAUAAUAUUAAUAUUAGUCGGUUCGGUUCGGUGCAAAACCGAACCAAAAACACAGCACCGAAACCGAACCGAAAAUUUUCGGUUUUCAUCUUUAGGAACCGAACCGAACCGACCACCAGUAGAAUAGGCACCAAACCGCACCAAUAGGGUUCGGUUCGGUUCGGUUUUGACUGUCGGUUCGGUUUCUGCUCACCCCUAGCCAUCAAUACAUAUAAAUUGGCGUGCCAAUGAGGCAUUAUUCUAGUGACAAAGCUAGAGCACCCAAAGACUUUCUUUGUGAUAGGUCUUGAGUUCAAUUUCGUCUAUUUGUGGUGAUGUUUUCACUUCGCUUGGAUGAUGGUGAAGUACCGCCUAUGUGCGGAUUGCAUAAUUGAUUAUAUUCGUAUACAUAUAAAUCUGUGUAUUGUAUUUAAUCAAAAUUUAUAUUUUAUUACAAUUAACUAAAAAUUAAAAAAUGACAAAUAAAAUCUCAUUAUUUCACUUUUUUGUAUUUUUGAGAUAUUUUGUUUCUAUGAGUUCAAACUAUUGUUGAAUAUUUUAUUAUUUUUUCUUUAACAAAGUUGAACAUUUUAUUGUUAUCAACUUAUUUUAUAUGUUAUGUAAUCUUGAUUUUUUCUUCAAUAUCUUAUAUUUUAUAUAAUCUAUAUUUUUUAUUUCUAUGUAUAUUUUAUACAUUCUACAUUAGAUCAUUAAGAAUAAAAAAUAAAAUAAUUAUUUUAUUUUUACACUUUUAACUCGAUUAGCCCGAAAUCCGAACGUGUAGGAUUAGAAUUGAAAAUUUAUAAUCCGAUAAAAUAAUCAACCUGAUUAGUCCGCACUCGAUUAGCCCAAAAUUCGAUAGGGUUGGCCCGAAACUCGAUGGACUAGCCCCUAGUUGUGCCAUUACAACCAUGUGAAUGAGCUAAUAUUCUCAUAACCUUCAUUGUGUCUCACAAACCUCAAAGCCGAGGACCUUUUUAGGUUCUUCUCUCGUUCUUUAUGCCUAUGAGAGAGAGAGAGGGGUGGUGUUGUGUGUUGAUGAGGAAGGAGAAAUACAAGAAAAGAGGAAAAAGUGAGAUAUAGAUGGUGGUGGGCGAGGGGGUUAUAAUGAUACAAGGAAGAGGAAGAGAGGGUUUUUUCAUCACAAACGAGGACUUCACAAUCAUCAUUCUUUCCUCCUAAAUAUGCCCCAAAGAAUGAACCAUCUAAUCUGAUUUAAUUACUCGUACCUUCUCUCUCUCUCAAAGUAAACUACCCCUCCCCUCACCACCACCACUCCCAUUAAUUAUACCCCCCUCUCUCUCUCUCUCUCACAUAUUUACUGUGCUCACCUCACCUCACAUCUUAAAUAGAGCCCCCAACUGCCCCUUUUCUCCAUCUCUUUCUCCACAUCUACUUCUUGACAUCCUUUCGUCUGCGUGUGUGUGUGUGUGUGUGUGAGAGAGAGAGAGAGAGAGAGAGAGAGAGGAUCUAUGAUGAUCAAUUUCAUGGUGGGCUUCUCAAAGGGUUUCUUACAGAGUUUAUUGGCAUUCUGUCCACCUCCUCCUAUCAUUUUUUUUACCAUGAAAGAAAAAAAAACAAGAUAAAUAAUGUGGAAUUUAUGAAUAUGUUGCAAAUAUUUUUUCUUUUGUUAGUUAGAGGAGGUGGGCAUACUGCCAACUGAGCUCUGUUGGCUUCACUUUGCAAAACCCUCAUGAAUACAUAAAUUCUUGCUUCUGUCAAAAAAACCCCCCUUUUUUCACUUGUUUGUUUUUUCUUCCUGCAAAUUAUACUGCAACUGUUUGCAGGUCAAGGUAUGCAUGAUCUGAAAUUUUAGUUAUUGGAUUUAUUUUUUCUACUGAUCAUAUUUUUGUUUUUGUGCUUUUGUGUUUUGUAGUGGCAAUAUUGGCUAUCUGGAUUUCCUAAUUUCCUACAGCUGAACCCUAGUGUAUGGGACUUAUUACUUAAUUUUUAUUCAAUUUAGUUAAUUUACAAAGUUAUUUCAAGAAAUGCUGACUGAUUCAUUUUUUUUUUUCUGUGUUAAAUAUAUUUAGGUUUCUGUUGUUGGAAUCUCUUGGUAUUAAAGGGAUCAAAAAUUUGAGGCCUUUUUGACCCCCUUGGUUUUUAGCCAAGAAAAGCAAACUUCGCGGAGAGAAUUUCCCUAAAAUAAAAGAAUAAUACGAUUCAUUUCCUCUUAUGGGUUUUUAGUGUUUGUUUGUAACAGAAAUAUUCUACACAACCGAAUUCUAUAAAAGAUCAAGAAAUAUAACUUGAUUAGACGUAUGUAAUUUUCACAAACAUUCGAUAUCCCGACUAAGAAACUUUUUUUUUUUUUUUUUUUCUUUUCCUUCAUUUUUUAGGAAAAAGUUGACAUGGAAAAAGCGUAUGCAAAUUAGAGUGGGAGAAAUGGGGAUGGUAGGGCAAAAAGGAAGAAUAAAUUAGUGCUUUUGGUUUUUGCAGUGGGUAAGAGUAGAAGGCCUCGUAUUUUUACGUAGGCUCAUGAUUGAAUUUUCUGACAAUUUUAGCAUUAAAUAAUUGUAGUAUUUAAGACGCCAUGUAUAUAUGUAUAGCUUCAUCAGCUGCAGCAGCCCAUCUGCUCCAAUCUCUCUCUCUCUCUCUGCGAUAUUCACUGACAGUAAAAUCUUCCUCAAAUACUACUAGCUAGUUCAAGAUCAUCGAUCAUUUGGCACUUUCAAUUUAUUUCUUUUUCAUUUUUAAUUUUGUCCUCGUUGAUUAAUUAUUUUGAGAAAUAUGUAAAGUUGUAACCAUAUAUUGCAUGUUUUCUUACAAAAUAUAUGUGACAUGCAUGUUUGGCUUAAUUCUGUGAAGAUUGUCAAUGUCACCCGUAAAUAAAAAAAAUGAUGUUGAGGUAGUAAUUAAUGUUUUUGUUAUUAUAUCUAUCUUGUACUUGAAUUUACGUGUAGUGAAAGUAUUUUCUUGUUCAAUCCCUUGUUUUUUCAUAUAUGUACGGAGAGAAAUAUGUUGUUGGAUCCAUUAAAUAUUACUUUCGCUCCGCGAUCAUUUUUGAAUUCUCCCAUUUACUUCUUUUAUGUCCAAGUAAUCAUUAAUCAUUUUAUGUACUUUAUUAAAUAUACUGUACAUUUUGCAUUAUAAUUUUACAUUUUCAUGACCGUGUUGAAAAUAAAUAAAUUGAAGUGAAGUAAGACGGAAGGGAAGGAGUAAUAUAUAAGAUUGUUUUCAAUUAUGGUAUUUGCUUAAACUCCAUCAUUUUACAAAAUAUUUAUUCCAUUAUAAAAAAUACAGAUUUUAAUUAAGGGUUAAGGUGCAGAUAAGCCCCUCAAGUGGAGGCCCUUAGAGCGUUUCAGUCCCCUUACUAACUGUGUGUGCAAAUUGGCCCCCGAACUCAAAAAAAUGGUGCAGAUCGCCCCCUCUGACUUAACACCGUUAUGGGCCGUUAGUCAGAGGGGGCGAUCUGCACCGUUUUUUUGGAGUUCAGGGGCUAAUCUGCACCUUUUCCCUUUUUGGAGUUCGGGGGCCAAUCUGCACACCGUUCAUUAAAAAAAAUCACAUCUCAUCUUCUCCGACCAACUUUUCCGGCGUCAAUCGCCGUCAGAUGAGGAAAAUCACGAAAUCAAGUUCCCAAGCCCCAAAUCGGGAAUUCCAAAUCGGCGUCAUUGCUCCCGAAAAUCACAUAAUCGAAAUGGAAACUCGAAUUCUCCCUCGAACGUCACCACCCCCAAUUGCAGAAUCACCCCCAACGAAUCGAACUUCACCUCACCGUAGGCGGUGAUCGUGACCCCAAUCGAGAUCGAGNUCGAGAUCAUGUUCGCCAUGGUCUCUGAUUUGAAGGCGUCCUUCUUCAACAGCACGCCGAUAGUGUAGAUGGCGACGGGCAUCGUCGGCCUUUAUCACCGGAUUUCGCCGGAUUUGAGAGAAAGAGACGACUCCUUAUCGAGAAAAGCUAGGCGACUCCUCAUCGAGAAAAGCUAGGCGGCGGGUUCACCGGAUAUUGCGGCGGCGAUUUUCGACGGAAUGGGAGAAUUAAGGCUCGUCCUUGACGCUAAGCGUGUGCAGUCGAGCGAGCUCCGAGGUUUAGGGCCCAAGAGAGAAAGAAAGGGGCGGCGCCCUCCGCCGGCCUCGCCGGAGCUUGAAUCAGCGACAACGACGAUCAAAUUUUGAGCGAGAGAGAUGAAUUAAUUAAAAAGUUAAAAGGUGCAGAUUAGCCCCUGAACUCCGAAAAAACGGUGCAGAUCGCCCCCUUGACUAACGACCCAUAACUGUGUUAAGUCAGAGGGGCUUUAACAUGUAACUCCUAAAAGUUCCUAGGAUUAACGCCCUCACAGUUAUCAAUUCCCUUUAGAAUUAAAAUAGAUGUGUUCUAUGUUCUUAGUUCAGGUAAUAAUUAUCAUCUCCCGAUCUCAAAUUAAAACCUAUGAUUAUACUAAAUUGGUGGCCAAUCAAUAAAGCAAACAAUUAAAACAAGAACAAAGAAAGGAAUAACAAUCCAAUUAAUUGAAUCAAACAGUCAGAAAUUCAAACCAUGUUUACUCCCUAAACCCUGGGAAAAAAAAAGGAUUCUAGCCACACAUAGACAUAUGAACUAGAAUACAAUUCUCAAUAAAACACAUAAACAUCCACAAGAAAAACCGUAGUAGAAUUGAGAAUCUUCAGUUCUUGCUCUCGCUCCGUUCUCCGUCUCUCUCAGCUCUCAGGAAAAGUAAAAUAUGAUAAAAGAUGAUAAAAGCUUGCAGAGAAUAAGUUCUUGGGGAGUAUUUAUAUGCCCUAGGUCUUGUAGCUCUCAAAAAUACCCAAAAUCACUAAAAAAAUGAAUUUUGGGCGGAAAAACGGCGACUCGCGCGGCCACGUCGCGCGGCCGCAUGGCUGGCCCGCGUGACGAAACAGAACUCCUGACAGCUUUGCGCAGCGAUUUUGUUUUGGCUCGUUCUCCCUCGUCCGAACUCCGAUUUAUGAUCCGUUUGCGCUCACGAACUCCUAUCGAGACGAACUACAACUUGUAUUUCAGCCAAUUCUUCCAAAUUCUGCUUCAUUAUUUCUGAAAAUUCGUUCAAACACAAGCAAGUAACAAGUUCUUGACCAUAAACGAAUAUAAGCUCAAAUAGACCAUCAAACACACAAAAUCCUCACAACUAAGCAUAAAAAAUGACACACCAAGAGGUAAAAAUGCAUGUUUAUCAACGGCCCAUAACGGUGUUAAGUCAGAGGGGCUGAUCUGCACCGUUUUUUUGAGUUCGGGGGCCAAUUUGCACACACAGUUAGUAAGGGGACUGAAACGCUCUAAGGGCCUCCACUUGAGGGGCCUAUAUGCAUCUUAACCCUUUAAUUAAUUAUGAGUGAAGUUGUGAGUGGAAUAAAGAUCAUAUUUUAAAUGCUAGUGGAACUAUAAAUGGAAGUGAUGAAAACAAAAAAAAGCAAGUGACUUCUUUUUUGGUGACGAAUUGAAAAUGAAAUUAUGAAAUAUAUAUAUAUAGGGGGUGGUUAUUCAAUAAACCACCCUUAUUUUAAGAAUUACGAACCAACAAAAAUGCAUGAAUUUUAUGUAUAACACGCAUGAAUAAACUGUAUAAAGGUAUGAAUUGCGAAAAAUAAUUUUUGCUACCUUUGGGAUUCGAACUCAGGACCAUGAAUUUCUCCAACAAGGUGAUGAAUCAACCGUAGAUUUUGAUGAUCUAAGGGCUGAAAAUGGUUCCUAAUUUAUAUUUUAAGAGGCGUUUUUAUUUUAGCCUUCUCCUAUAUAUAUAUAUAUAUAUAUAUAUAUAUAUAUAUAUAUAUAUAUAUAUAUAGUAGAGAGAGAGAGAGAGAGAGAGAGAGAAUGGAUCCGUAGAGAAUGACAAAUAUUUUAAGAAUAGAGAAUUAUUUUGAUCCAUCCGAUUAAUCAUAUCUAACGGUUUAAAUUAAUACGUAUUUUUUUGUAUUUUAAUGUUAAAAGCUAGUGACGUAAAUUCAGUUUUUGUGGUAACCGUAAUCAAAUAUAUAAUACGGUUUGGGAUUCCUGGCCUCUCCUCGAUUCUAGGUCCUACGUGGCGUAUCUAAACAUUCAGUAUUCAAAAUUCUUGCAAUUCUAGAGCUUCUGGCAUAAUAUUAGUCAUCCUAUGUGGCAAAAUACAUCCUACAUCGCAUAUCUUAUUUUAAUUCUUAAAACACAAAAUUAAGUAUCUCUCCUCCCCAAAUUCAAUUCCCCUAAAUCACCCCCGUCUCCACACUACUCUCCCCUCCCCCGUCUGAAUCAGCGCUGCCCCUCCUUCCUCCGCCGUGAAUCCCUCCUCUUCGUUUGUCUAUUCUUUCUGCAGCUCCACACCAGCCUCUCCCCUCUCCCGCGGCAAUUACUCCGGCCCUAACUCGGCACCGUGGCCCCUCCUUCCUGUUUCCGCGUAGCAAUUUCUCCCUCUCUUCCGCCGCGAUUCGCGUCACCGCCGCUGCCGCAAUCGCUAGAGAUCUACUCCGAUCUGCCACCGCGGCCCCUUCUUCCUGUCUCCGCGUAGCAAUUUCUCCCUCUCUUCCGUCGCGAUUCGCGUCACCGCCGCUGCCGCAAUCGCCAGAGAUCUGCUCCGAUCUGCCUCCCACUCCACCAAUUUCUUCAUUCUGCCUCCCGCUGCGAUUCACUUCACCGCGCCGGCCACCGCCGAGAUCGACACAG